AAUAUGUGCUUUUAUUAUAAACAUGUAAACUUUCUUAUUAAAAACUCGAGCACAUGGAAAAAAGCUUCAGAGUGAUUCUUCUUCUUCUUCUGAAAUCACUUCAUUGAUCCAAAAAUGUUUUUGGUUACAAAAAACACUUUAGCACUUCUAGUAGCAAUCCCAAAUUAGCAUUUUGACAAUUUGUGCGGAUUUGAGUUAGGUUAGCAUUUUUAUUCCUUGCUCUGCCUCCUCAUAAAUUAGCAUUUUAUAAUAUGCAUUAAUUAAAAGGAAAAAUAUAAAUACUUAUGAGGAACCUUAAAUUUGGUUUUCCAUUUUGACAAUAAUUAGAUUCUCGACUAGAAGAGCUGGUGACGGAGCUUUCACCUAUCAAAGUUAAAGACCUACCUGCAGCGAUGCCCAAUUGCGACCCUGAAGAUUUCUAUCAAGUGAUAACCAACAUGGCAAAUGAACCCAAGGCUUCUCAUGGACUCAUCUUCAAUACUUUUGAUGAUCUUGAAGGACAAGCACUUGCCACAAUUCGCCAAGAAUAUUACCCCAAUAUUCCAAUUUUCUCACUAGGUCCAUUUCACAAGUGCGGCCCAACAACCUCUUCUUCUUCAACUAGCUUACUAUCACCUGACCAAAGUUGCAUUUCAUGGCUAAACACUCAAGCGCAAAAAUCUGUUGCUUAUGUUAGCUUUGGGAGCAUUGCCAAGAUAGAUCACGCUCAAUUUUUGGAGAUUGCUUGGGGGUUGGCCAAUAGUGGCCAACCCUUUUUGUGGGUGGUUCGACCUGGAUUAGUUCAAGAGUUGGACUGGCAUGAAGCGUUGCCUAACGGAUUUCUAGAAGCGUUGUAUGAAAGAGCCCAUGUCGUGAAAUGGGCUCCGCAAAAAGAAGUGUUGGCCCACCCUUCAGUUGGAGUCUUUUGGACUCACUGUGGUUGGAAUUCUACAUUGGAGAGCAUUUGUGAAGGGGUCCCUAUGAUUUGCACGCCAUGUUUCAGUGAUCAAAUGGUGAAUGCAAGAUUUGUGACUGAUGUUUGGAAGGUAGGGCUGCAAUUGGAGCAUGGGAUUGAGAGAGGUGAGGUUGAAAGAACAAUUAGAAGACUAAUGGUUGAGAAAGAAGGGGUAGAGAUCAAAGAGAGAGCCUUAAAUUUGAUGGAAAAGGCAAAUCAUUGCCUGAAAGAAGGUGGCUCUUCGUACCUAUCUUUGGAUGGCUUGGUUAAGCACAUUUUAUCGUUAUAAAUCGUUUGUUUAAGAGAGUCAGUAUUAGCUAUUCAAUAAAAUAAAAAAUAAGGGCUUUAAGUAAUAUAUUAACUACAUAUUUUAGAGAGUUUUAAUGACAAGGGUCUUAUAGAAUAAAAUCUUAACUAAAACACUCUUUAUUGGUUACUUUAAUAUAAUUCCUAAUUUCAGUUUUUGUUGGAAAUCAAAACUGAUGCAUUAUAACGUUGGUUUUAUACUAAGUCUAAUAUUAUUAGUUAGCCAUUUGAUCAUGUGCAGCACACCAUGUCCUAAUAUCAGUUUUCCUUCUUAAACAAAAACUGAUAUAUUUUCUUUGUAUCCUAACGUUGGGGGUAAUAAUGAUUCUGCUACCCGAUUUGCAAAGCUUUGUUCCUGCUACCCGAUUCGCACAUUUCAACUUAAUCUUCAAUCCAUUCAACCAUUUGAUAUACCUCAGAAAACCAACAAAACAAAACAAUAAUGGGUUAAUAAGAUGGGAGCAAGUUGUCUUGGAGCCUCAUAUACCGCAUCCAAUCAAUCUACAUAACAGCCAAAAAAAUUAGGGGUCCUUCGUCACAACGAAUGCAUUCAAUCAAUAUACAUACAUAAGAGUCAUCGUAUUUACAUUGUCUACUUUUAACUGAUCCAAAAUACUGGCAUAUUGUUCCUUUGGAUGCUUCUACUUGCUAUCAAAUGCUUUUCCAAUAGCUUUACCCCAGCUCUCUAUCAGCAGAUACUCCUCUGUUUCUGAUGCCCUAUGAUGCAUGAACAUGGUGGUAUCCCCUCGUAUCCUCGUAUCGUAUUGUGUGGUAUUUAUGUGUCGUGUCAUGUGGUAUCCUCGUGUCUAUGUCCAUACAUCUUGAUAGGUUGCCUUGUAGAAAGAUAUGACAUAAACAAAAAGACAUUUGUAGUUAGAAGAUGUUGUUAGAAUAAUUGGGUUGUCAGUGGUUGGCUAACCAUCCAUAGAUGAUUUGUGUCUUAAUCUUUUAGGGAAACGCCCUGAGGGGAACAAGAGUUUCAUCAUCGUGAAUGGCUGAAGCCAGUAUUUAUUUGACAUGUUAAUCUUGAAAGAGAAAUAAUCAAGCAUAAGAUUGUAAAGGGCUAAAAGAGUUAUUGAUGCUUAACUCAGUUAAAUCUGAGAGAGAUAGUAAGUUUGUAUUUAUAGAGAUGAUUUACAUCAAUAAGUUACAAGUAGUGUUUGACACAAAUAACAAUACUAUAAAUCCCAAAGAUAGGAGAUAAUACAAGAGAGCAUAUCAGAUAACUCUCAGCAGAGGUAACUUGAGUGAAGGAGUCAUAUGGAUUGGAGACUUAUAGUUUAUCACGCCCCCGCAAGCUGAUUGGACGACCAAGAACGGGAAGCUUGGAAAGAAGAACCAAAACCGAUUGGAAGACAAACCCUUUGUGAGAAAGUCAGCCACCUGAUCUUGAGAAGCAACAUAGCCCACAACAAUUUCCUUUCGAGUAACCUUUUCACAAACAUAAUGAUAAUCAACUUCUACAUGUCGCAUUCGUGCUUGAAAAACAGAAUUGGAAGCCACAGCAGGAGCACUUAUAUUAUCACACCAUAAUUGAGGUGGUGUAAGAUAAAGAUGAAGAUCAUGAAAUAAGUUUCGAAACCAGGACAAAGUAACGGCAGUAUAUGCUAGUUGAUUAUACUCGGCUUCAGUGCUUGAGCAAGAAACACCACGUUGCUUCUUCGAGCACCAGGAAAUCAAAUUAGAACAGAGAAAAAUACAGUAACCUUUUAUGGACCGACGAUCAUUAGGAUCACCGGCAUAAUCGGCGUCGGCAUAAGCAGUGAUAGAGAGAGAACUCGGACGAUAGAGCAUGCCAUGAUCAUGAGUGCCCUUAAGAUAACGCAAAAUGCAUUUAACAGUAGCCGAGUGUACUGUUGUGGGAGAGUGCAUAAACUGGCAGACCUGGUUGACGGAGAAGGCAAUGUCAGGAUAGGUGAAGAGUAAAUAUUGAAGAGCACCUACAACACUGCGAAACUCCGUGGCAUCAGAGACUGGUUCCCCGUCGUGCAAAAAAAGGCGACGGCCAGAUGAAGAUGGCGUGUAAAUGGGUUUACAAUCUGCCAUGUUUAUGCGUGUGAGAAGGUCCUUAAUGUAUUUAGCCUGAGCUAAAUGAAAACCAGAAGCUGUUCGAGUGACCUCCAUACCCAGAAAAUAAUGGAGGGGCCCAAGAUUUUUCAUGGAAAACAUUAAACUAAGCUGAGCAAUGAGUUUUGUAAUCUAUGAAUUGCUAUUGCCAAUAACCAAAAUGUCAUCAACACAAAUCAACAAAUAUAUAAUUGUGGUGUUAUCAAAGUAGGUGAAUAAAGAAGAGUCAGCUUAAGAGGCAACAAACCCGAGUUCCUCGAGAUAAUUGGAAAAACACUGAAACCAUGCUCGUGGAGCUUGUUUGAGACCAUAAAGAGAACGUUGUAGCUUGCAAACAUGAGUGGGAAAUUGCGGAUCAACAAAGCCCUGGGGUUGGCACAUAUAAACAUCUUCAAAGAGGGAACCAUGUAAGAACGCAUUAUGUACGUCCAACUGGCGAAUGGACCAAUUAUAGUGAAUAGCAACAGAGAGAAUUAAUCUGAUGGUGACGUGCGUAACCACGGGACUAAACGUUUCUGCAUAGUCGAUGCCUUCCUGUUGGUGGAAGCUGUUAGCAACAAGACGGGUUUUGAACCGUUCGAUGGACCCAUCGGAGUUGCAUUUGAUCUUGUAGACCCAUUUAUUUGGAAGAACAUUGAGAUGUGGUUGAAAUGGCACAAGUGUCCAGGUACCAGUUCGUUGUAAUGCCGUGAACUCCUCAGCCAUUGCCCGACGCCACUGUGGACAUUUGUUAGCCUGUGUAAAUCUUGUAGGCUCAACUAAAGUAUUUAUGUCAGCAAGUAAGGCAUAUCGAGGAUUUGAUUUUCGAAUGCCAUAUUUGGCCCAUGUAGUCAUGGGAUGAGAUGGAGGAAUAGUCAUCACAGGUGAGGUAGUUGAGGUCCCAAUAGUCGUAGGAGAAGAAAAGGGAUGGGUCGUAUAGGGAAGAUGAGAGUCUCUAGUAUUAGGUAUGUGGAGGGCCGGGAUAGGAGGAGUAGGUAGGGAUUGAGGUGAUGUGUCUUUAGGUUGAGCAGGUGGGGUAUUGGUGAUCGAGAUAGGGAGAGUAGGUAGAGGUGGAGAUGGGGUAGGGUUAUGGGAUAAGGUGGCAGGAUUGCGGGUGACUAGGUAGAGUCGGAGGUCGGGUAGGGUUAUAGGAUAGGUGGCAAGAUUAUGGUGCAGGGGAGUAGAAUAGGGGAUAAAGUUAGGAGGUGUCACGAUAGUGUCAAAAUGUAACAUGUCUGUGGAUAUGGAAGUCUGAGCUGGAGUAAGAAGCAUAUCCUUGUAGGGAAAACAUUUUUCAUCAAAAAUAACAUGACGAGACAUGAAAACUUUGCCCAUGGAGGGAUCAAAACAACGAUAACCUUGCUGAUUUAAAGAAUAUCCUAGGAAAAUACAUUUUUUAGACGAAACUGAAGUUUAUUUUGAUUAUAUGGGCGAAGAUAUGGAAAACAUGCACAGCCAAAAACCUUUAAAAAGUCAUAUUGUGGAGGACUAGAGAAUAAUUUUUGAAAUGACGAUUCAUUGUGCAAAACUUUGAUGGGUAAGCGAUUAAUCAAAUAAUUGGCAGUGUGAAAAGCCUCUACCCAAAACGUGAUUGGGAUUGAUGCAUGAGCAAGUAGAGUAAGGCCAGUUUCAACCAAAUGACGAUGUUUACGUUCUGCAAGUUCAUUUUGUUCAGGGUGAUGAGGGCAUGUAAAGCGAUGAUGUAUGCCUUUAGAUGUUAAAUAAUUUUUAAAAAUGUGACUCAUAUAUUCUCCACCUCCAUCAGUUUGAAACGAUUUUAUUUUCCUACUAAACAUAUUUUCAACUAGUUUCUAAAAAGAAACAAAAAUAUUAUACACGUCGGAUUUAAGUUUUAGAAGAUAUAUCCAAGAGUAACAUGAAUAAUCAUCAAUAAAAACCAAAUAAUAUUUAUAACCAUCAAUCGAGUAAGACGGGAAAGUCCAUAUAUCGGAAUGAAGUAAUUCUAAAGGAAAUUUUGAAAUUGAACUAGAAAGUGAAAAUGGAAGUUUGUGACUUUUGCCUAGAGGACAAGAAUGACAGAGCAGAAGUCACUGGGCCAUGAAUAGGCAAUUUAUUCUUAGCAACUAAAAACUUUAAAUAGAACCAGAUGGAUGGCCCAGUCUAGAAAGCCACACUGUAUCAAACACGCGACCACCAAAAAAAUGCAAAAAUGCCAUGUUGUUAUUUGGAUGAAAUACUGGAAAAAUGAUAGAACCCAUACUUACUCCGGCCUUGCAAAAGGAUCCUCCAUGUGGUGAGAUCUUGAACACGAUAAGAAUGGGGAUAUAAGGUUAGUGAAUAGUUGUUGUCCAUGAUAAAACGAUUUAUAGAAAUGACAUUGGUUGAGGCAUUGGGACAAUAUAAAGUAUUGGAAAGAUUAAAGGUUUUUGUGGGAGUGCGAAUACUGGAGUGACCAAUUUUAGAAAUAAGCAAACAUGUGCCUCCAACUACACCAUUCACAUGAUUAUUGCCAUUGUAUUCUCAGGCUUUAGCUACCUGUGUCAAGUCAAUUGUAAUAUGGGUAUUAGCUCCAGAGUCAAAAAGCCAAUUUUGAACCUGGGAAGUAGCCAUGGGUGGAGGGUCAUAUGCAUGAGCAGUAGCGGCAAAAGCUUGAAGUUUGGGAGCGGAAACACGUCAUUCGUAUGCCAUGUUCAUACGAUUGUAGCAAUUGAUAGCAAAAUGACCAGGUUUGUGGCAGAUUUGGCACUGAACACGUCCAUUUGAAUUAAAAGCAUUCCCUUGUUGAGGAGCAGUACCAAGGAAGCCAUCGUUAGGAGCAUGAGCUCCUGGCUGGCCAAGCAUGCCACGACCACCACGACCAGCGGCAGCCUGAAAACCACGUCCAGCAGGCUGAAGGCCAUGACCAGCGUCGGCCUGAAAACCACACCAUCCAAGUCCAGCAACAAGGGCAAUAGGAGCAGCAUCGUCGUGGAAGACAUAACUCAUUUUUUGUCGACGUUCGGCGCCGAGAAGCAAGGCUUCCAAAGCGCCAUAAGAGAUGGCAUCUUCUCGAGCUUAAGCAGCCGACAAUGUGCUUUCAUACGCAGGACAAACGUUAUUGAGAACGAUGGCCACUAAAUCCGAGUCUGAAACAGGAGACCCCGGGAGGGAAAAGGUGUCAGCGAGAGAGUUCACACGAUCCAAAAAAUCAGCAAUGGAAGAAUCACCAUGUUGAGUGUUCAUCAGGUCACUCCGGAGUUGCAAAAGACGACCAGUGGACGUCAAAGCAUAACUCUCGUGAAGAGAAGUCUAAGCGGAGUGAGAACUAGUUUUCUCAAUAAGAGAGGCCAAAACCGUGGGGUGAACGAAACUGUUGACCAUGAGAGAACCAUGGCAUCCUGCUGCAUCCAGACUUCGAAGGUUGUGUUGACAUCAUUGGUGAGAUUACCUGAGGUAUCUUUGAGAAACGCCGAAAGACACUGACUAGUGCCAUCAACAAAUGGAACUAGGUUCCUGCUAUGAAGUAGGGGUAGAAUUUGUGCAUGCCAAAGGGGAUAGUUUGUACGAUCAAGUUUGAUCGUCAAAAAAUUGGAGACAUUAGGAAGAGCGGCAAUGGGUAGGGUAGAAGAAGAUGAGUUUGAGGAGGAGGAGGUUGAGGAGGCCAUGUAAAAAAAAAAAUUGCUUUUGUUGUCGUGAUACUUUCUUAGCUCUGAAAUACCAUGAAAGAGAAAUAAUCAAGCAUAAGAUUGUAAAGGGCUAAAAGAGUUAUUGAUGCUCAACUCAGUUAAAUCUGAGAGAGAUAGUAAGUUUGUAUUUAUAGAGAUGAUUUACAUCAAUAAGUUACAAGUAGUGUUUGACACAAAUAACAAUACUAUAAAUCCCAAAGAUAGGAGAUAAUACAAGAGAGCACAGCAGAGGUAACUUGAGUGAAGGAGUCAUAGCAAACAACUUUGAGGAUAUGGAUUGGAGACUUAUAGUUUAUCAAAUCUCUGGUUAGACGAGGGGAUUUUCAGGGAGAAGAAGAGACCAUUGUGGAAUAUGACACGUGCCGGAAGAUCAACGGGGAGCAUUAUCGUGCUGGUUGUGGUUGUACAUUUUGGGCUAGUUGAAACAUUUUACUUAUUGGACUACGGAGUACGAGGGUGCCCAUAUACAAAAUGAAAGGCUCAAUAAAUAAAAAAAAGCCCAAAACCUAAUUGGUAAAUAUAUUCCUUGUGUAUAUUUAAGUAACCACAUAAAAGAGGUAAUGACAAAAGGAGUUGGCGGUGGAUGGAUGUGACAAAGCUCGGCCAGGGGUGAGUUCACACUUAAUCUCUUUGAAAUUAGCCCUUGAAAAGUGUUUUUCCUUCUGAAACACCUUUUGCAACAACCUACCUGAUUAUUCUCAUAAGUUUGCUGCCCAUAGUUGUCACGUCAUAAUCAUAAUUUUAAAGGAACUUUAACGAAAAGCUCCCGGUACUAUUUAUUUUAACGAAAAAUUACAUUUUUACACUAAAAAGUCAAUCAUGAUACUAUUCAUUUUAUCCUUUAUUUUAUCAUUAUCGUUAAAACUCAAAGUUUUUAAAUAUUUUUUUAUUAGCGAGCUUAUUGGGCCACAAAGUGAGAUCAGUGUUUAAUUUUGACCCAAACAAAUAUAAUUUUCAUGAAUCAUAAAAUAAUUUAAUUCAUUUUGAAUUAAAUUUUCCAACAUUGAGGAAGGAAAUGUUGUAAUAAAAUAUACGAAAUUCAUAAGCUCACAAUCUAAGCAAAACAAUCGUUCUUAGAAAUUCAAAUGGAGCAAAGCAAAGGCAUGAGAGUGAUACGUUUCCUACUGCGCGCCAUUCAAGGCCAUAUAAACCCCUGUUCUAGAGCUGGCCAAAUAUUCUACACUCCAAAGGCUUCUCCAUAACCAUUAUCCACACCUGCUCUAACUCUUCCAACCUUUCAGCUCUAAACCGGCACUUCACCUACCACUCCAACAAAAAUCAUCAAUAGAAUAUACAAUCAAAUAGAAAAAUCACCAAUUUGCCUUAGCUUUUAGGGUGCGUUUGUUGCACCGGACUAUCUGACUGGACUAACUUCAAGAACUAAGUUGGAGGAGCUUGGCAUAAACUAAAUAGUAUUAGAAUUGUGAAAUGUUAGGUGCAAUACCUGACUAGCUAGGACUAUUUUUUUUUUAAUUACAAAAACUCCCAAUUUUUGUUGUCUGACUCUCUCUCCCAUCUGUCGCUCCCGUUCCUUUCCUUUGCACUCCACUAUUUUCCUUUCCUUUCCUCUACACUCCUUUCCUUUCUUGCAGAUUCAAAAUUUCCCGGAUUUCCAGUUAGCAACUGUAGAAAUUUGGUUUCAAAGUGUUUUCUAUUUCAUGAGUGAUUCUGAAUGUACAAUGCAGUAUAUAUCUAGAAGAGAGAAACAGAUGGUUACAAGCAACCAUCUUUACAUGAAACCCUAGAGACCGGUUAAACCUAGGACACAAGCUUUUCCUUAAUUUAAGGUGAUUUACAUCAAAUCCAAGACUAAGAAGUAAUCAACAAGUUAAGUGCCUUAAAUCAAGGAGCUGGAAAACUGGCAGUUGACUUGUGUGUAUCCAUGAUUACUUGUAGACUUGAAAUGAGAUGACAUGCUAGGGUUGCUGUUGCUAAGGUUUAGUGUGACUGGUUCCAACACUUCCCCUCAAGCUGGAUCAUGAAGUGUAGUCGAGCCAAGCUUGCUCAAAAGUCUGUGUAACUGAGAAGAGGGUAAAGGCUUAGUGAAUAAGUCAGCCAAUUGAUCAUGGCUUCUAGUGAAUUGAGUUUGGAUAACUUGUGUUUGAACUUGAGCUCGGAUGAAAUGGCAGUCCACCUCAAUGUGCUUGGUUCUUUCAUGAAAACAGGAUUAGUUGCAAUGUGCAUGGCAACUUCGUUAUCACACAUGAGAGACAUGGGGGCUUGAUGUGAGAACCCUAAAUCUGAAACCAAGCCUUUAAGCUAAAUCAGUUCGCAUGCAGUGGCUCCCAUUGCUCGAUACUCCGCUUCAACACUAGAUCGUGCUAUAACAGUUUGCUUCUUACUCUUCCAUGUCACAAGGUUUGCCCCAACAAAAGUGCAAUAUGCAGUGGUAGAUUUUCUGUCAAUUGUAUUAUCUACCCAGUCUGCAUCGGUGUAAGCACUGAUUUCUGUGGACUGAUUGUUUGACAUAAAAAUGCCUCUAUCCAAUGAACCUUUGAGAUAACGAAGAAUACGUUUAACAAGGUGAAAAUGUUGCAUAGUGGGAGCAUGCAUAAACUGACUAACUAAGCUAACAUCAUAAGUGAUGUCUGGACGUGUGAUAGUGAGGUAGAUAAGCUUACCAACCAAUCUUUGGUAGUAGCUUAUGUUGGGGAGAGGUUCCCUAGUAGAAUCAAUCUUCAUUUUGCUGUCAACAGGUGUGGUGGCAGGCUUGCAAUCUAUGAGCUUAGCCUCAGUAAGUAAAUCAACAACAUACUUUCUUUGACUGAGAAACAACCCCUUGUGAGACGUGGCCAUUUCAAUGCCAAGAAAGUAUUUUAAUCUCCCAAGAUCUUUGAUGGCAAAGGUGUGGCGUAAGGAGUGUUUCAAGGCUUUGAUUUCACUCUCAUUGUCACCGGUGAUGAUUAGAUCAUCAACAUAGAUGAGAACCACAAGUUUUCCACUUGAACCACUUCGAAUAAAUAACGAGGAAUCAGCAUUGCUUCUUAUGAACCCUGUCUUUUCUAAGAUAGAACUUAGCUUUGCAUAUCAUGCUCUCGGAGAUUACUUAAGUCCAUAGAUAGCCUUAUGUAGCUUACAAACCAUUCAUUUUUCCACUUAAGUAUAACCUGGUAGGGGUUACAUGUAGACUUCUUCUUGAAGUUCUCCAUGGAAAAAGGCAUUUUUUACAUUCAUUUGGUACAAAGACCACCCACAGUUAACUACUAUCGGGAGUAAUAUCCUAACAGUAUUCAUUUUUGCCACUGGGGCAAAGGUUGCCUUGUAAUCAACCCCGAAUGUCUGAGUGAAGCCACGAGCCACAAGUCUGGCUUUAUGUCUUUCUAUUGAACCAUCUACCUUGAGCUUGGUUUUGUAAACCCACCUGCUUCCAACAGCCUUCUUUCCUGGAGGCAACUUGACAAUGCUCCAGGUAUUGUUUUCUUCCAAAGCAUUUUGCUCUUCAGCCAUAACUAGUUUCCAAUGUGGCAAGGAAGUAGCUUCUUGGAAUGUUCUUGGUUCAGCAGUCUUAGAGACUUUAGUGAGAAAUGCAUGGUGAGAAGUCGAAUACUUUGAGUAAUGUAAUACAUCAUAGAUAAGGUACCUUGAGGCAUAAAUGACAUAGUCCAACAGCCUUGCUGAAGGCUUUCUUGUUUGAGCAGGAUUUCUUCGUGCACCUUGAGUUGGCCGUGAUAAUUGUACAUUGUCAACUUGAUCUUCAGAGCCAUGCUCAACGUCUUCUUGUGAGAAGACAUGUGGAUUUAAGGGGUUUGUGACUUGGUGCAAUUCCUCAUUGAGUUGAGUGUCAUGUCUUGCUGGAACAUCCUCAUCUUGUUCUGUGUACAUAGGUAACGGGAACAAGUCAUGCAAAGACUCCCCAUCACCAGGAACAUGCCUUUGUGGUUGGAAGAAGGGAGUGUCUUCAUCAAAAAGGACAUAUAUGGAGACAAUACACUUGUUGGUGAGGGGAUUGAAGCAUUUGUACCCCUUUUGUGUAGAUGAGUACCCUACAAACACACAUUUUGCAGCCCUAGCCUCCAAUUUGUCACGAAGUUGAGGCUGCACAUGGACAAAGCAUGAGGAACCAAACACUUUCAAGUGAGAUAGGUUGAUAGACCUUUUUUCUAGAGUUUCACAAAGAGAUUUAAACCCUAGAAUAUGGCUUAGGAGUCGGUUGAUGAGGUAUGUAGCUGUCAAGACUGCAUAGGACUAAAACUUCUUUGGAACAUUCAUAUGUAACAUCAAUGCACGAGUUUUUUUCAAGUAGGUUUCGGUUUUUCCGUUUAGCAAUCCCAUUUUGAUGUGGGGUUCCCACACAACUAGUUUGAUGUACAAUUCCUUUUGAGCUCAAGUAUUUAAUCAUUGUGUUGGAUAAAAACUCAAUGCUAUUAUCUGAUCUUAGUGUUUUAAUAGUUGAGUGGAAUUGGUUUGACACAAGUGAAUGAAAGUCUUGAAAGAUAGUUGAAACUUUACUUUUAGCUUUCAUGAGAUAAAGAAAAGUGACACGAGUACAAUCAUCCACAAAUAUGACAAAAUAUUUGUAACCUUCCAUUGAUUCAAUAGUAGGACCCUAUACAUCGGUGUGAACAAGUUCAAAAGGUAUGCUAGACUUAGACGUUGAGGUUUUAAAAGGUAACCUAGCAAACUUUGAGAAAUAACAAGUAUCACACUUCAUCAAUGGGUGACAAAACUUGGGGAAUAGUUUUGCCAAAACAACUUUGAAUGGAUGGGCUAGCCUUUGGUGCCAAAGUUGUUGAUCCUUGGAAGAGCUUGGUUAAACUUGAAAGCCUUUUGACAAAAUGGGCUUCUUGCAAAAAUAGUAGAGACCAUUUUGAUAGAAUCCUUCACCAAUCAUUCUCUUGGUGAGAGCAUCCUGAAAGAUUACAUUUUUGGGUGAGAAUAUGACUAGGCAAUUUAGAGUGUUAGUGAGUUGUCCUACGGACAUCAACUAAAAUGGAAAAGAGGGUACGUAUAAGGCAGUAGACUCUAUGGUGUUUGAGACUAAACCUAGUUUUCCUUUUCCCAUGACUAAGACAUUUUUUUCCAUUUGCAACUGACACAUGAGAUGGUUUUGACUAGGGAUGGGCAAAAUACCCAUGGAUAUGGGUAACCACGGUUACCCGUCCAUUUAAAGUUGACGGUUAUGGUUAUGGGUAACCGUUUAGACAAAUAAACGGUUAUGGGUAUAACCGUUUAUCUAUGAAAUUUAAAUGGCCGGUUAUGGGUAUUAUCCGCGGUUAUAACGGGUAUCCAUCGGUUAUGGGUAAUAUUCAUGGUUAUAACGGGUAUCCAUUUACCCAUUUAAUUUAAUAUAUGUAAAAUUAAAAAAAAAAUUAAAAACCCUCAGAUAAAAAAUUACAACUCUAUCACUCUCUCUCUCCGUCCCUCUCUCUCUCCGCCUCUCGACUUCGUAACUCUCUCUCUCCGUCGCUCUCUCUCUGCGCCUCUCUCUCUCUCCGCCUCUCGACUUCGUCACUCUCUCUUUCUCCGUCGCUCUCUCUCUCCGCCGCUCGCUCUCUCUCUCCGUCGCUCUCUCUCUGCGCCUCUCUCUCCCUCGCUCUCGCUCUGAGGCAGUUGCUGAAGAGCCUCUGCAGCAAUUCGCCUUGGAAUUAUUCAGUGUUUUGGAAGCUCAAGCACCAGAGUGAUUUGUAAGCUUCUUUCCUUUUCCUCGGUUUUUGCUAUGAAUUAUACUCUUGUUGAAAAUUUUAAUCUGUUUAUCCGUCCUUAGAAUUCGGAAAGUAAUUAAUUAGUUAGUAAUUUAGGGUUUGAGAUUUAGGGUUUGUGAAAUUUAAAUGACUAAGAACUUUUUGCUGUAAUGUGAGAUUUAGGGUUUGUGGAUUUGUGAGUUGUAAUUCGAAAUUAGGAUCUGGGUCUUUGCAAUUUCGGGAUUUCUGAUGUGGGUUUUCGUAUUUAAGUGAAAGGGAGAUUGAUAAAUUUUAAUGUGUUUGUGUACUAUUUGAAGAAACUGCACCUCCUUUGGUUAUGGUUCUGACAUUGUUGGAUUCUCUGUUCAAAUUUUGUAAGUUAUUAUAAAACUUGAAUUAUUUAGUUGGAAGUGAAAAAAAACAGAUGAGGGAAUUGGUUGAACAGUUUUAGUGGUAAACGAAGGUUUCCGGUAGAAUAUUUCGAAUUUGUGAUGGAUAUAAGAAAUUAAGAACACAAUUUUGUGUAUAAGAUUUAGAAAUAGGUCCUUAAGUACUUUGUUUCUUAACAACUUCUGAUACAAUUUCUGUAUUCUAUCCCCACUACCUAAUAAUGACAAUGUGCUAAUGCCCUAAUCAAUGAUUUGGGGUUUUCCGGGUUUAUAAGUACCCCUAUAUUAGUGGAUAAUAAUGUUUAUACUUGAUUUCAUUGACAUAAGACUGAGUUGUAUGAAAUGAACGUUUAGCUGGAGUGAGCUUUCGGUUUACAUAGUCAUAAGUGGGGCUUUCUGAACUCUACACACUGAUCGUGACACACAUAUCGGUUCAUUCUGUUAGAAUAAUUUCAUUUCUUUUCAGAGUUUUUGUGUUAACGCCUCCAGUAGAUGGGAUCUCGUAAAGUUUUUCACUAAACGUGUCAUGUUGAAUUUUGAUACUAUAUUUUAAUUUUACUAGCAAGUUUCUUAAAAAAGAAUCUAAUAUGUUUUCCAAGCCUGUAAUUCUGCAUGGGUUUUCUUUUAUGAUUUUAUUUAAUAUUCCAGUAAGCCUGCUGUCACUUUUGUUUGUGUGCCAAGAUUACCAUGUACUGUUGUAGAGAUGUCCUUAUUAUGUUCAGACCGAGUGUGUUAUGAUUUUUUGCUCUAGGCAUCCAAAAUGUUGAAGAUUUUUGUUUGGCCUGUGGCGAUGUUUUGAUGACUUUGUUUGCUUUAAACGAGAACCAGAACCCCCAAUUAUGACAGUAUAGUGUUCUUUUGUUCAAUUGAUAUCCUGUUUUUCUUUUAUAUUCUGAACUUGUAUUCAACUAGUUCCAAGAUGGAGACUCAAAGCGAGAACCAAGAUAUUGAACCAAUUAAUCUUGAUCAAGAAUUGGACCUAAGUGAAUCAAGCUUUGAUGACACUGGUAGGAAGAGAAAAAGAACCUCAGUUGUCUGGCAGCAUUUUGAGGAAAAAAGUUUUUGUGGGGAGGUGAAGGUUGUCUGUAACCAUUGUAAAGCUAGGCUAGCAUCGGGCUCCACUGUUGGUACUUCAUCUUUACUUUCACUUGUUAGAACAUGUCAUGUAUUGAGGACAAAGAAAAAGAGUCCAGUUAUAACCGGUGAUGGGUCUGUUAAACAUGGUGCAUAUAGUUUUGAUGAAGGUAAUGCUAGGAAAGAGCUAGCUUAUAUGAUUAUCUUACAUGAGUAUCCUUUAUCUAUGGUGGACCACUUGGUUUCGUAUGAUUGUUUUUUGUUAUCAGAAACACAGAUUUAUGAGCUGUUGCUAUAGGGUCUGUUGCUUUAAAAAUCAUUCGGGAAUUCAGAAAUAAAAAAGCUCUACUUUUACUCUUCCUUUAGGCUCAAUUUUCUCAAGUUCCUGAACUUCCAUAAUUUAUUGGUUGCUAUUCAGAAUAAAAAAAAAACUGAUUGGUUGCUAUACAGAAAAAUAUCGUUCGUAAACUAUUAUUUCAAUUAUUGGAAUUAUAUGAGGACUUAAAUGAUUAAAAUAGGGAAAUGUAUGCUAAAAUGUACUUAUAACGGUGUUUAAUUGUCAGAAAAUAAAAAUUAUGACAAAUUUUUCUUUUGUAAUUUUCAAAUUGUUAAAAAAAAUAAUGUAGACAGGUGAAAAAAAAGGUAAAUGGGUAAAAAAAGGAUAAAUGGGCGAAAAAAUAGGUAAACGGGUAAAUGGUUAUGGUUAUGGGUAAAUGGUUAUGGGUAAAUGGGUACACGGUUAUGGGUAUGGAUAACCGUUUAUAAACGGUUAUGAUUAUGGGUAUAACCAUUUAUGUAAUUACCCAACGGGUAAACGGUUAUGCGAGUAUGAACAUAAACGGUUAUGGGUAAAAUAACCGCGGUUACCCGCCCGCAUAACCAUUGCCCAUCCCUAGUUUUGACAAGACUUGAAAAUCAUGCAAGUUUAAGGCUUUAUUUGUCAUGUGAUCAGAGGCACCCGAGUCAAUUAUCCAACAAUCACAAUUAAAACUAGUUUGUAGUGCAGUUGAGAAUGCUUUGGAGAUACCUGGGACUGCAUCUCAUGAAACAUGAUCAUGAUCAGCAAGAAAUCCUGCAAACUGUCCAAGAAGUGCAGUUUGUUUGUUCCCGUCACCCUUUGACGUUUGUGCAGUUCUCCAUGAUUCUUGGUGUGCAAGUAAGUUGCAAACUCGUUAAUAAGAGUAAUAGGAUUGGUUAUGAAAUCUGUUAAGCCAUGAAUGGGUGAGCUGGUAGCAUGGUUGGCCAGAUGCUAAGCCUUAAGAUGAGCCACUGAUGAGGAUCUUGGGACCAUCAUCAUGUUGUCUUUAAAUUUAGGCUUGAGUCGGGGUGCAGCUCUCAACAUCUCUCUUCUGUGUGACCAGAAGCAUUGCAAUACUUACACUUUAGAUGUGGAUUCUUUCCUCUGUACAUUUUGGCAUCAUGGUUCUUGUGGUUUGCAACAUACCCUCAAGCCUUAGAUAGCUUGAGAUUAGGCUCUAGAUUCAUCGCCCUUAUUCUUGCUGCUUCACGUUGCACCAUGGCACAAAUAGUCUUGAAUGAUGGUAGCCCCACACUCAUUAAUAUGUGACUCCUGAGAUCCUCAUAAUCUGAGCUGAGGCUUGCGAGCAGUUGGUAGAUCUUAUCCUCCUCAGCUCUUUUAAGAAGAAUAGUAGGAUUUGUGGUGUGAGGGAGGUACACAUCAAGCUCAUUCCACAUAGUCUUCAAAUUGCCAAAGUGUUGGACAAAAUACUUCUUUUCUUGCUAGAGGCAAGCAAUAUCUAUUUUCAACUGGAAUACCUGAGCAUAGUUGUUCUGGUUUCCAUACAUAUCCUUCAUAGAUUUCCACAAAUCCUGUGAAGAUUCAGGAUAACUAAAUAUCUCAGCAACAUGUUUCUCCAUGGUGUUGAGCAACAAGGACAUAACAAACUGAUCCUUGCACAGCCAUGCUUCAUAGGCCUGAGAAGAGGAGUCUGGAGCUUCAAUACUUCCAUUGAUGAACCCUAAUUUUCCCCUGCCUCCUAGAGCAAGUGAAACUGCCCUAGACCAAGGAAGGUAGUUGAGCUCAUUCAGCAACACCGAGCAUAGGCGCUGGUUGGUAUUAACUUCAGAGUCUAAGAAACUCGAAGGAGCUACCUGCGAGCUUUCUCCCUCAAUAUUAAUUGAGCUUUCCUCAGCCAUUACAGAAGCUCACAAGAAUAGCAGCAGAAAUUAAACGGGCAGAGACAGGUUAAGGAUGACACUACUCUGAUACCAUGUAGAAAUUUGGUUUCAAAGUGUUUUCUAUUUCAUGAGUGAUUCUGAAUGCACAAUGCAGUAUAUAUAUAGGCGAGAGAAACUGAUGGUUACAAGCAACCAUCUUUACAUGAAACCCUAGAGACCGGUUAUACCUAGGACACAAGCUUUUCCUUAAUUUAAGGUGAUUUACAUCAAAUCCAAGACUAAGAAGUAAUCAACAAGUUACGUGCCUUAAAUCAAGGAGCUGGAAAACUGGCAGUUGACUUGUGUGUAUCCAUGAUUACUUGUAGACUUGAAAUGAGAUGACAUGCUAGGGUUGCUGUUGCUGGGUUUAGUGUGACUGGUUCCAAUAACAACCCAGAAACCAAAACAGCCACGUCCCUCAUAAAUUUCAAAAAGCCAUGUCCCUGAUUAAUUUCGGAUUACCAAAAAAGCCGUAGCCUUUGGAUCGGACGGUGUUCUUAUCGGUGAUGACCACGACCAGGGCCUAUCCAAACAUUCCGGAGGCCUUGGGCAAAAAUAAAAAAGGGGCCCACAAAACAACAACUGUGAAAAAAAAUUUUGCGUUUUUUAUGUGAUUUUUCCCUCCUUUUCUACUAGGUAUUUAAAGGAUUAUAAAAUAUUUGAAGGUAUUUUUCUUUGUAGUCAUACACAAAAACAAAGUUACAUCAUAAUACUUGGUCAAUUGGUCAUAAAGAAAAGAAGAUUGUCAUGUUGUAAAAAAGUACUAGUCUAUCUGUUAGUUUGUGUGAGUGGCAAUUUUCUUAUACCAUCGUCAUGCGCUUCUAAAAUUAAGGUAUAAAUAAAAUUACAUUCUUCAUCCUUAAUAUUAAAGUAUAAGGAAUAAGAGAAUAAGUAAACAAAAAUUAUUUCCAAAAAUCAUUUUAUGUGACUGCAAUAUCGAUGAGUAACUUUUUCUUUCUCUUCCUUCACACAAAAAGGAAAAGCAAACCAGCAACUCAAGCAGGCAAAACGAAGUACAGCGAAACAUAAACAAGCUAUCUAAUAGACGAGCAUCUGCAUUGUUCUCUUAUUUUUCUACUUCUUAUUUUUCCAUUGCAUCUUCGUCUUCUUCCCCUGCCUCUGUUAAUUGUGGCAUUUCAGGUUCUGAAUCACUUAGGAGUAAUCUAUCAGGAUAAAUCCUAACCUCAAUCGAGCAAUACUUGAUGCCUAAAGUGUCUAAGUGCCUUUGACAAUGCAAUUUUCUGACUAAAUUUCUUAUAGAUUUGGUGUAAGAGAAAGUUUCAAAAUUUUCAGCUGAUUGAAAGUGGUCUCAUUUUUUUAAGCCAAAUUAAAUUUGUGAAUACAUACAUACAUUAAUUUGUUGAAUGUUAAAAUUGAAUUAGAAUGAAUGUAAAAAAUGUGCAACCCAAUGGAGCUAGUAAUUAUAAUCGAAGAUAAAAAGAAAUUAACAAUAAAAAAAUUAGUAAAAAAUCAAAGGUAAAAACAAUUUAACAAUUAAACAAAAAAUAGUAAAAAAAGGGAAAGAAAAAGGCGUGCUCAAACCCAAGACCUCGUUGUUAUUAGUACACAAUAAAACCAACGCCUCUAAAUAUACUUUUUGAUGACUUAACCAAACAUUUUUUAAAUUUAUACGGUUAUGAAAACAUGUAUGGAUAUACUACCCUAAUAAAUUUUUUGUGCCCCUGAUUUUUUGAGGCCUUAGACGAUCAUCGUUAGGGCCGGGGCCGACCCUGACGACAACCACGAAAAUGUCCCUGAACUUAGACCUGGCAAUUUCUUACACGACCCUUUAAUACGACACGUAAAUGACACAAAAAUAAUGGGUUUCGGGUCAAUAUGAUAACUAAUUGAGUCAUUAUCGGGUCACACUAUAAUAACCCGUUAAUAACGGGUAUAUUAUAAAUAUUGAGAUUAAAAAUCAUAAAACACAUUAAAAAUAAAAAUAUCAAGUAAUUUAAAAAUACCAAACACAUUAAAAAAAAUUAUAAUAAUUCAUUUACAUGUGCGAAAAAUAUGAAAAAAUAUGCAAACGCUCGUAGUCGCAUCCUCUACGUUUGAGGAUGGGUAUAUGAUCGUUUGAAUUUUUAAAACCAUACAAACUCUCAUGAAUAGUAUUUUUAAGGGAGUUCAAAAUAAACAAAAUUCAUAAUCAUUAAUGUAUAAAGUCUGAAAGAUGUGAAAGCAUAAUAAACGUUCAUAAUUGCAUCAUCAAUGCUUAGACGAUGGUUACAUGGUUGUUUAGAUUUUUAAAACCAACAAUGUUUUGUAUUUGAGUGCAAAAUUAAUAAAAUUAAUAAUAAUUAUUGUAGAAGUGUGAAAAAUGUAAAUACUCGUAAUGAAAAACUUUACAACUUUCAUGAAGGGGUCAAUGUAAUGACCCGUCCCUAAAAAUUAUGAUUUUUAUAAUUUUAAUACGCGGGAUUACGAAAAUGCCCUUCGAGGCAAAUACGUUGACUUAUGUUGACCACCUUGUCGUGUCAUGUAAGGUUCAUUUUCUUGGCGUAUUCAGGUAGUACUCGUCAACACGAGCGUAUGAGCGCAAACGAAACUUGAUUUGGAGUUAUACGAAGAUUAUACGAACUUUUAAAUGUCGAUGGCAUUUUGGUAAUUUGCCAUUUGAAACACAUGUUGUAUCUAGAGUAGUGUGUCACGUGGGACCCACAAAUUGGUCCCUAAUCUUCUGGAACUCUCCUUCUCUUCUUUCUCUCCCGUGACUCUAUUUUCUCUCUCAUAGCUCUCAUUCUCUUUCUCUCUUGGCUCCCUUUCUUCCCGUGGAAACCAAACCAGCACCAAUCAUUUUUCCAGCGAAUUAGACCCUGAAAACAUCAUAAUCAUGUCCCUAGAAUCCCUGGAAUUGUGAAUCCAUAGUUGGUUUCGAGAAUUUUUGUGGCCGAAGGCAAGUUAGAACUCACUUUUUGGAGCUGCGGGUUUCCCUUCAAUUUUAGAUAAUUUCCAGCCAUAUCUUGAACUCUAAACAGUUUCUGGUGAACCCGUGACCUUCCAGACCAUUUUCCGACCAAACCACGGCGAGUUAGCCAUCAUUCAAGGUUGCCCAGAAAUUUCGAUGAGUUACCAGUUUUCCCGUGGACAGCCGUCUUUCAGGCCAUUUUCUGGCCACAUACGACCAUUAUUUGGACUCCAAGCUGGCGCCAAUCGUUCGUGCUAGGGAGUUGUACUGCAGACUCCAGGUUUUAGCUGCUGAAAGUUCGUAUCGACGAGGGUUCUUGGCGAAUCUCAGUAUAAGUGGCUACCUCUGAGCACAUAAUCCUUACCUACACUACUAUACUUUACUUAUGCUCCGACGUCGUGUGUGAAAUGGGUUCAUUCCCGCUUAUAGCUCACUCUUGUCUUUAGGCACUUUUAGGUUUAAAUUUAAUCACAUUUUCCAUAUCACCAUACUUUAUGGCUUCAUCACCUUCUAGGUGUCAGCCAGCAUAGCUUGAUUCGAAGUCUUAGUGGACAUUCUGGGUCGGGGUAUGUCAGUUUGGUAUCAGAGCAUAAGUUAGGCAGUAUUGCGUUCAUCACACGCGUGAUGUAAUCAUUCUUGGUUCUUGAACCUAAAUGUCGAAUCUUGCCACCUCGUCGAAUACAAAAAAAUGUAUUAGCUUUUUCUAAGUCUUGAGUGACUUAGUCGACUUAUCGACCUUUUAGAAAAUCAUUUUGGCGAAUGCCUCUAAAUUAUAAGUGAAGAAAUUCCCUCCCAAGAAAAGAUGUAAAUUUAAGGCAAGUUGAUGGCCUUCAAGCAGGGCUAAUGUAUCGAUAAAUGUGUAUCAUCAGAGACUUUACCAAUCAAUUUCAUCACUAUUCUCUAGCCAUAUGUACUAAACCUUUCGAGAUUGGAAAUCAUAAAUAGUUUUGAUUCCUUGGCAGUAUCCGUUAGAAUACCACCUAUUAGAAUCUCUAUGAAGUUUUAAUUUUCGUCGAAAUUUCCAUAAUUGUCUUGAGUGACAGUGGGGUGCUAAAAGGGUAGCACUUGAUGUAAGACCAUCAGGGGGACAAUCACUUUUGGUCCAUGGUAGCACUAAUCUUUCCAAACGCACUAGUGAUUAUUCUGGAUCUUCAGGGGGAAGAUCGACUUCCUCUAAGUCUGUCCUAAAGUAGAUUAUUAGAAAAUUCUUUUUCGGCCUUAGGACAUUCCAACUAACACUAGUUCCCGAGUUCUCUUUUGGUGACUUACUCGUCAUUUCGACAAGCAUAGGCAUCGAUAUAUGAGUUGUUACCUACAGUUAGUAAAAAUCCCUGAAGUAGUAAGUAUUUUCUUUAGAAUUAAUGAAACCACCUCACCGGGCCAAUUCUUUACCAAUCGUCCAAAACCAAUUAUCUAAGUGGGCUUUAGCUUGUGAUCAGCCUAUGAUGGCGCUAUUAACUGACUUUCCUGUCCAAUAUCCAGAAACUGUCAACUAAUAUUCUGGUGGUUGGUAUAACUUCUGAUAUUGGACAUAGGCUAGUAUCCGGGAGUGAUACCCUUAUGCCAGGACGCUGAUUUACAGUUUCAGGGUAGCGAACAAUAUCAAAAUAUCGUAUAUGCGUCAAUUAGCGGCGCAACUGGUGGACUGAUUAACAGUGACUACUUGAGCCGAAUAAAUUAAAUUGUGGAAACUUAAGAGUAGACCUUGUAUUAAGACAGUAAACUCACGGUUAUGUUAACCAUAUUACCUAUUUAGGUAAUCAAAACUUCUUCAACCAACCACUUCUCGAUCACUUUCACAGAUAAAUAGUAGGAUCAAAAUACGAAAUGACAUCUCACUGUUAGAAUGUUUGGAGUGUCAAGAAAACUGUGAAAACCUUUUAGUUCAUGUCGUAGAGUUGUUAGCAGUUUAGCACGGUCUGAGGAGGUAUACCUUUGGCAUCAUUUUUCAAAAUUCUAACGAAGGCCAAGUGAGACUUGGCUGAAGUCGCCAUUAAUACUAGGUACUUAUGGUAUUUUCCUAGUAAAGAAUAAUGCUACCAUUUUACUUAGAUGAUAGUAAACUGCAGUCGCUGAUAAGAGCAUGGUCAGUAAAAAUGGUCAAAGCGUGAACACGUAUAAGCCGAACCACAGACUAACGACAGUUUAAAAACUUUUGUAAACUACAGUUGGAAAGUAAAGAGUAAUUAGGAUUUGAUACUCGGUUAUGAUCCAAUUUGUGUAGCCAACGAGAUCUUACAUCAUCAAGAUCAAGUGGGAGAUAUUAAAAUAUGAUGGGGUGUGCUAUCCACACACCCCAUUUUACUUCUCACACACAUUUUGAUAAUUUAUGUCCGUUGAUCUUCUUUAAUUCAUUCGAUUCGAUUGUCGAAAAUUAAAAAUGUGUGUGAGAAAUAAAAUUGGGUGUGUGGAUAUCACACCCCAAUAUGAUCAUGAUGAUGUUGGCUUUACUAUGCAUAUAUUUGAUGUAUGGAGGUGCAUCGUAAGAAUGGUGUAUUGAUAUACACUUAACCAAAAAGUAUGUUAAGAGGUAUGACUUAAUAAUGAUUAUACCAAGUGUCUUAUCAUGAAAGGAUAAGACUAUUCAGAGAUGUCUCAUAACUAUCUGAAAAAGGGUGCGAUGAAAUCUAUAAAAAGAUGAUUCAUUCCUCAGACAAAUCAAUCCAAAGCGAAAUACAUUUUAUCUUCUUCCCUUUGGUGUGCUAUUUCUCCCUUGGCACUACUGCAUAGUAAUCAAUAGUCUAACGACAUUAGAGAUUGAUCCUAAUCCAUAAAAUUCUAUAUUGAAAAGCAUUUAUGAGGGAGUCGCUAUGAUUUGCACGCCAUGUUUACUGACCAAGUGGUGAAUGCAAGAAAUGUGAGUGAUGUUUGGAAUGUAGGGUUGCAGACGGAGCAUGGAAUUAAGGGCACGUUUACUAAUCUAUAGUUAGAUUGAGAGGAAUUGAAUUGAGGAGGAAUUGGAUUGAGGAGGAAUUGGAAUGAGGUGGAAGUAGAAUCAGAUUCCUGUUGAAGUUGUUUACUAAAACUGUCUGGAAUCGGAGAGGCAUGAUGUUGGUUAUAUAUAAGUUGUUUACUAAUUCACUGGAAUCGGAAUUAAAACUAGCUUGAUUACUAAAUUGCCCUUAUUUAAAUAAAUUAUUUUUAUACUAAUUAAUCAAACUAAUUUAUUGCGCAAAAAAAAAAAAAAAGAAAACUAAUUUUAUAUACCAAAAUUUAUCUAUAUAAAAAAUAAUUAAAGAUGUUUCUUUUUGUUAGAAGAUGGUUAUUUCCAUUUGCCCCCACCACAUAAAACCAUCCUGAAAGCUUUAUUUUCCCAGUCGCAACAACCUUCCCCCAUCCUCGCUUUUCCAUGCCCUCCACCCCACUUACCCCUAUAGCCACCGCCCCUAGCCCCAAUUUCUUAAACCCUUUAUCUCUCUCCUCUAUGCCCUCCCUCUCCGCUUUCUCGGUUACUCCCGCCAUGGUUUGCAAUGUCGUUCAAUCCAACGCAUCUGUGAAAGCUGGUGAGUGGGUUGAAGUUCAGAGAUCUUAUAUAUGCUUCCUGAGUGGGUUGCCUACUAUCGAUCGUAGUGGGUAUGAUGUUUGGCUGAUGGGUUCUUUUUUUUUUCUUUUCAUUUUCUCUAAAUUUGAAAUUUUGAUUGUUGAAGUCAAGGAUGGGUGCGAUAAUUCUACAUAUGGUGGCUGUUAUAUUUGUGGUGGUUUUAGGAGGGGUUGUGAUAGGCCUGGUGGGUACGGUUGUUAUUGUGUCCAUUAAUGGUGGUAGAUUUGGGAAAGACAAAAGAUUGAGUGGGUGGUCUGGGCUUGUAGAGGAGUUGGAAAGUAAAACUGCAAGGAGUGUUUCGAAAUUAGAAAAAAAAACUAUGGGGGUAAUAUUGGUACAUAAGGUGGAUUCUUGAUAGGCUUCAUUUCGGGGAAUUCAAUUACCACCUCAAUGUCGAGAAUUGAAUUCCGGGAGUUUGGGGAGUCUGAUUCCCUAUAUUAAGUGGGGUCCCACACAUUUUUUUCAUUCCCAAGUGUUAGUAAACGGAGGAAUGAUCAGGAAUGGGGAAUGACUCCCAUUCCGCCAUAUCCAUUCCCUAUAUGUAACCACGCCCUAAGAUAGGUGAGGUUGAAAGAACAACUAGAAGAUUGAUGGUUGAGAAAGAAUAAACCAAGAGACAGCCCUAAAAGUGCAGGACAUGAAUGCUUCAUCAUCCUUCACGACUUGAACAUCGCACCACAGUGAUUGCAUCCACAUAAAGGAAGCCAAUGGGAAGAGGCUACCGACAAGCUACAUAGCCAAUAAAGGCGAAGACAUGGAAGAAGGUGGUGCGAACACCCGAGCUGAAGCUCUACGCACCUUCCAAAUAAAACACAAGUCGCUAAGGCCAUCUCCAACCGAAAGGGUCCAGAGGGCCAGAGGGCCGAAAAUAACCCCGAAAACCGUCUUCAACCGAGGGCUAGGCCAGAGGGCUCUGGAAUCUGGGAGGGCCCCACGGAAUCGAAAAGGGCUGGAGGGCUGGCCAUUUUUUUUAUUAAUGUUUUGUUAUUACUGUCGGUUAUAGCCGACAGGAAUACCGACAGUAAUACAUUUAUACUAAAUAAUAUAAAUGUAUUCCUGUCGGUUAUAACCGACAUGAUUUCUUAAGAAAGAAUUCAAAUGCAACGGCUAGCUGACUAGCCGUUGCAUUUGAUUUUUAUUUUUUUAUUUUUUUAUUUAUUUUUUUACAGUUUUAUUAUUAUUUUUUAUUUACAAAUUUUUUCAUAUAACUUCUAUUUUUUCCUAUAACUUUUAUUUUACAAAAUUUGUUUCAUAUUUUUUUUAAAUUCCAUUUUUUCCUAUAACUUCUAUUUCAAAAAAUUUGUUUCAUUUUAUUUUAAGUUGUAGUUUUUAAAUAAUAAAUUAUGUUUGGCCUUAUGGCCCUCUGACCCUCGGUUGGAGACGCUUUUUUGUGACAGGGCUAAAACGAGCCAUCUGGCCCUCUGGCCCUCGAUUGGAGAUGGAGGAAAAUAUGGUCUUGUACUGUUCAUUAAAAUAUUAAUAUCUUGGAGGAUCUUAGAGGGCCAGAGAGCUAAAACGAGCGCUCUGGCCAGCCAUCGGUUGGAGAUGGCCUAAGAAGAUCAAUUGCAAACAUGGUUUGAUGUUGAAUCAAAGGAGGACUAGGAGCAGGGAGAAGGGUGAGGAUUGGAUUCAUGAGAUUCAUGGUGGUGGGUGGGCAGCAGGAAGUGGAGGAAAGGAGAAACAGGGAGUUUGAAACAAAAUUAGGGCUAAGAAAUCUAAGGCAAGAGGGAGUGGAGGUCAAGGGAAAUCCGAGAUGCAAAGCAAGAAAAACCAAACUAAAAAAAAGGAAACAAGAAGAUACAGGACUGCCACCCCAGGCCGCAGCUAGGAUCGGCGGUUGCAACGUUUGGAGAAAUAAAGAAACUCUCACAAGCGGAGAGAAGUGCUUUCACAGAGAGAGAAGAGCUUGGACCCCUAAAAUAUGCCUAUUUGCCAUUUUGGUUAAGCACAUCUUAUUGUUAUAAAUCGUUUCUUUAAGAAACUCGGUGUAAUUUAUUCAAUAAAAUUAAAAUUAAAAUUGUUGGGUUGAAUUAUGUGUAUACAUAAAUAUAGAAUUUUAGCAAUGUACUAACUACGUUUUUUAAGAAAGUUUUAAUAAAAAGGGUCUUAUUGUGAUAUACAUUUUAAUACGUGUGGUUGUGCAAAUCUUAAAUAGAGAUAAAUUAUGAAUCCUUUGGAAGCUAGAAGAUCUUUAAUAUUAAACUUUGUAUAACCCGAAGAGCAAAGCAAAGUUUCUCUCAUGUUUAUUAUUAUAUAUAAAGACACUAGGUCUAAGCAAUAACACAUAAUUUUUCAAGCUUAUUCUCCAUAUCUCUUUCUCUCUUGUCGUGUUCCCUCUCCCUCUUCUCAAUUAAUCAUGUUGCAAACCUCAUCGACAAAGAGGGAGAUUGAGUUUUCAUGUUUUUUUUUCAUUCAAUUUUAUUAUUAUUUGAUAUUUCUUUUAAAUUUAAAUUAGCAUUUUCCUUUUUAGUGAUAAUACACUCAUCAUCCAAGUUAAUUAAUGUUUAAAAAUCUUCAAAUCACUCUUAAUCAAGAUCAUUGGGUGUUAUAAGAUUUAAAGACUACAAAGAAGUGUUAAAAUAUUUAUCAAAAUAUUUAUAACUUGAUCUUAUCCCUUUAAUUAUAAAUGUGUAAAUAAUAUGAUCUAAAACUCCAAUGAUGACAUAUCCCGAGUAGCUGGUAUAAAUAAGCAACUUUGGCCAUCAAUCAACCGCAUAUUCAGGCCAAGCAACCACAUAUUCCCUAUUAUUACGACAGUAGCACAUUAAGUCAUAAAUCUUCAACGAACUACAUUUGUGUUGAACUCUCCUAUGGCACAGUGAACUUGUAUGACCCUACCAAUUUAAUUGAUUUAGGGCACAAUACGUUGAGACCUUUCAUAUACAUGUAUAAUUGGCCUCCUGUCCUCCACACCUGCCCCCUGUAUACAAUUUAUUGACAUUGUUGAACAAAUAUCGCGGCCGAUCAUGACACACCACUUCACAUUAAUGGUAUUGUCGUGAAUGAUGAAUAUACUUUCUGUUUUGUCGAGCCCCACAUUGCCGAGCCCCUUAUCAAUUUAACGAGAUGGGAUCCUCAUCAGAUUUUUUUGGAAGGAUCUCGAGGAUUCUUUAACUCUUUUUUUUAUCGUAUAUCUUAUAGUUCGAAAUUAUUUUAAAUUAUAUUAUUUAAAAUUAAAUACAAAUAAUACAUGAUAAAAACUGACCGCACGAUGUACGAUAAAUAGACAUAAUUAAAAGAUCUCCGAAAUCCUCACAAAGAGAAUAUGGCGAUGAUCCUAUCUCCAAUUAACCACAUAUUAUUAGUUGUGAAGUUUUAUUACAAAAUGUUACGAUAAUAUUAGUAGUCAACCUCCUAUAGUUAAACUGUAUUAUAUAUUAUUUUGGUAUUUUUUUAAUGUGAUGCUCUAUUCUCCAACAAAUUCUCUAUGUAAGUAACAUUAACUCAAAAUUUUCAUUUAGUAUUCGGAAGAACUUAAGUCAGGGCAUUGAGUUAUUCAUGAAAGUCGAACUUAAGACAUCUUUUACUAAUAAAAAUAAAUAUUAUUAGACUGUGAUCAAUGCUAAGUAACUUUUUAUGGACUAUUUCUCAAUGUCCCCGCAAAUACUUGAAAAAGGAUUGGCCUCGUAUAACGCUAGCCAGGUAUAUGUGUGUAACGUGUAAAUAAUCAGUCCACAUUAUCAUUCUUUAGUGCAAGUUUUUCUAAAUAAUGUACGUUUAAAUUUGGGAUCCAAUAAAAUAAGAAUAAUGCUACACUUAUUAUAUUUUUUGUGGAGUACAAUUUUCUCCCUUCCACAUUCCUCCCCUUCAUUCCCCCCCCCCUCUCUCUUUCCUUUUUGUCUCUCUCUGUAAAAAAAAAGUCCACAUAAUAUGUUGACAUGACUUAAUCAUAAUCGUUUAAAUAGAAGGUGAAGAAGGAGAUGAGAAAAUCUUACUCUAUUUUUCAUACCACAUUUGUACUACAUUUCUAAUAAAAGUAGGAUCCACCAAUACAAAUGAUUUUCAUCUCUAUUAGAAGAAUUAUACUAUAAUAUAAAAAUGUAGUAUUUUUGAUAAAAUAAUGUACUCCUAUCAUUGUUUUUAAGUAAAAUGACAUGUAGCUACUCAAAAUAUCGAUAACAUUAAUGAUAUAAACCCCUGUUCUGAUUCUAUCCCCUCCUAAUCUCUCUCUCCCCUUCCCUUCCCUCUUACUUGAACGGUUACGAUUAAAAAUCCUACGCCCUGUUCUAGAGCUGGUCAAUAUUCUACACUAUAAAGGCGUCUCCAUAACCAUUAUCCACACCCGGUCCAACUCCAUCAACCUUUCAGCUCUAAACCCGCACUACACUCUACCACUCUAAACAAAAAUCAUCAACAGAAUAUACAAUCAAAUAGAAAAAUCCUAGUUUUUCAACCACAAGUUACAACUACUGAUCCGAAAUCACCAAAACCCAAUUGAAGCACAUAAGCCAAAUUCAAAAUCAACGCACCAAUUUGUCUUCACUCUUAAAGGUUUAAUGUUUAAUAGUCACAGUCAGUCAGUCAGUCACCACCCUGUCCUUUGCCUACCUCCUAUCGUUGGCGUGGCACCAUUUGUCUAACGUGUAUUGAGGAAAGCCUCUGAAUUGGCUUAGUAGAAGAAAGUAUUUGGUCGAAAUUUCAAUGUAGGUCAAGUUGGACUUGAUUGAAUUUGCCAUUAAUACUUGGUACGGAUGGUAUUUUCUUAGUCAAGAGUAAUGCUAUCAUUUUACUUGAACGCUAGUAAAAUGGAGUCACUGAUAAAAGUGUGGUCAGUAAAAGUGGUCAAAUUGUGAGUACGUAUAAGUCAAACCACGGACUAACAAAAGUUUACAAAUGUUUGUAAACUAUAGUUGGAAAGCCCAGGGCAAUUGGGAUUUGAUAUUCGGUAAUGAUCCAAUCUGCGUAGCCAACGAAAUCUUACAUCAUCAAGAUCAAGUGGGAAAUGUUGGAAUAUGAUCAUGAUGAUGUUAGCUUUACUAUAUAUGUACUUGAUGUAUGAAGGUGCACCAUAAGAAUGGUGUAUUGACAUACACUUAAUCAAAGGGUAUGAUAAGAUGUAUGACUUAAUAAGGGUUAUACCCUUCUAUAAGUGAAUUGUCUUAUCGUGAAAUGAUAAGAUCAUUUAGAAAAGCUUCACAACUCUCUGAAAAUGGUACGAUGAAGUCUAUUAAAGGAGGAUUCAUUCAUCAGACAAAUCAAUCCAACUUGAAUUGCAUUUUCUCUUCUUCCCUUUGGUGUGCUAUUUCUCCCUUGGUUCUACCGCAUAGUAAUCAAUAAUCUAAUGACAUUAGAGAUUGAUCCUGUAAUCCAUCAAAUUCUACAUUGGAAAGCAUUUGUGAGGGUGUACCUAUGAUUUGCAUACCAUGUUUAUUGACCAAAUGGUAAAUGCAAGAAAUGUGAGUGAUGUUUGGAAGGGGGGCUGCAGUUGGAGCAUGGAAUUGAGAGAGGUGAGGUUGAAAGAACAAUUAGAAGACUGAUGGUUGAGAAAGAAGGGGAAGUGAUCAAAGAGAGAGCCUUAAAUUUGAUGCAAAAGGCAAAUCGUCGCCUCAAAGAAGGUGGCUCUUCGUACUAAUUUUUGAAAGGAUUGGUUAAACACAUCUUAUCGUUAUAAAUCAUUUGUUUAAAAAACUCAGUAUCAUUUAUUCAAUAAAAUUGAAAUUAAAAUUGUUGGGUUGUAUUAUAUGUAUACAUAAAUAUAGAAUUUUAGCAAUGUAUUAACUAGGUUUUUUAGAAAGUUUCAAUAAAAACGGUCUUAUUGUGAUAUACAUUCUAAUACGUGUGAUUGUACAAAUCAUAAAUAGAGAUAAAUUAGGAAUUCUUCGGGAUUUAGAAGAUAUUUCCUAUUAAACCUUGUAUAAUCUGGAGAGAAGUUUCUCUCCUGCUUAUUGUUAUAAAUAAAGACACUAGAUUUGAGCAAUAACAUACACACAAAAUUCCUCAAACCUAUUCUUCAUCUCCCUCUCUCUUGCCGUGUUCCCUCUCCCUCUCCCUCUCCUCAAUUAAUCAUAGAAGAGUCUUCAUCCAAGGCAUGAAAGUUGCAGACCUUAUCCACAAAGAGGGAGAUGGAGUUUUCAUGUUUUUGUUUUUUAUGUUUUUCUUAUUUUUUUCAAUUUUAUUAUUAUUUGAUAUUUGUGUUUUCCUUCUUAGUGAUAAUACACUCAUCAUCCAAGUCAUUUAAUGUUUAAAAACUGCAAAUCACUCUUAAUCAAGAUCAUUAGUGUUAUAAAAUUUAAAUACUACAAAGAAGUGUAAAAAUGUUUGUCAAAAUCUUUUUUCCCCUGAUCCAACCCUUUAAUUAUAAAUGUGUACAUAUUAUGAUUUAAAUCUCCAAUCAUGGCAUUUCCCAAAUAGCCAGUAUAAAUAAGCAACUUUGGCCAUCGAUCAACCACAUAUUCAAGCCAAACAACCACAUAUUCCCUAUCCUUGAGAUAGUAGCACGCUAAAUCCUAAGACUCCAACGAACCACAAUUAUGUUGAACACUCCCAUAGUUGAUAUGGCACAUGAACUUGUAUGACUCCACUAAUUUAAUUGAUUUAUGACUCAAUACGAUGAGGCCUUUUGUAUGAGAAAUUUUUCAUUGUGACCAGAACACGGGUAAUACAUUAUGUUUUUUUUAUAUAAAUGGCGGGAAAUUUUAUUUUUUAAGUUAUUAAUUUUUAAACAUAUAUAUCCACCAUUUAUAUAAUGACACGUGAUGUACUAUCCUAUAUUCUAAUUGCAUUAAAAAACCUCUCCGUUAUAAUUGGCCUCCUGCCCUCCAUGCUUGCCUCCUGUAAACAAUUUAUUGACAUUGUCAAACAAAUAUCGCGGCACAUAAUGACUCACCACUUCACAUUAAUGGUAAUGUUUAAUUGUCAUCACCAUCCUCUCCUCCACACCUAACUCCUAUGUGUGUACAACGUAAACAAUUUAUGCGAUAGAAUAAAUAUCGCGGCCCAUCAUGACUCAACUUUACAUUAAUAGCAUUGUCGUGAAUUUAACACAUUGUUUUAAAAAUUUCCGUCUAACGUUGCUUACUCCCCGUCUAGGUGCUGCGAUGCUAGGCGGCUGGCCACCGUUUUGAUUAGUUCCUAUACAUUUGAAAAUUAAGAAAAUACGCAUAGACCUGCCCGAUGAUUUCUGGUUAUGGCCAGAAAAUAGCCUAAAAGGUGACUGGUCUGCGGGAAAACUGGAAAACUCGUCGAAAACUGUGUAAACUUUAAACGUUCAUAACUUCUUCAAUACUCAACGAAAUCGAGUGAUUCAAAAUGAAAAUCAUAUUUCUUGACGAGACGAAGAGAAUGAAAUCUUUCUUGACUGCUAACUCGCCGUGGUUUGGCCGGAAAACUGCUCGAAAGUGGCUAACUCAAAAAUGGUUAGCCAUUUUCGAGCCGUUGUCCGACCAAACCAAGGCGAGUUAGCCUUCGAAAAAGGUACCAUUCUCUUCGUCUCAUCAAGAGGUAUGAUUUUCAUUUUUGAAUCACUAGAUUUCAUUGAGUAUUGACAAAGUUAUGAACGUUUAAAGUUUACCCAGUUUCCAGCGAGUUUUCUUGUAUCACCUUUCAGGCUAUUUUUCGGCCAUCUCCGGCAACCAUUGGGCUUCCAAAUAGGUAUAAUCUUAUUCUACACUUUCCUAUCUUCAUUUUGAUAUAUUAUGGGUCGAAUUUGGUUAAGAAACGAUUGAGUUACAAAACUAUGAAAAUUGCCCAAAGAGUUUUUAACGGAAUGACCAAAAUCAUGGAUGGUGGACAAUCUCAGGGGCCAUUUCUAUUGAUCAUGCAAAUCUCAAGGACUAUUUUGUAUAAUAACCCUAAUCUAUAUGUAAUUUUAUUUUACAAUUGCUGUAUCACAAUACAAUUAUGUAUUUUUUUUAAAGUAUAAAUAGACACUUAUUAUCAGUGACUUUUAAAAAUAUAUUGAAAAUGCUCUCUAGGGUUUUCUAGGUUUUCUCUCUAGGGUUCCCUAGGAAAGCGACGGCAAGGAAAUUAUGGCGGGCAGCGCCGAAGGGUUUUUAGUUCACGAUUUCACAAUUGGAUAUGGAGGCGUAUUCUUCAUUUGGGGAGGGAAAAGUGCUGGGGUCUAUUCAAGGGCGGUGUGCAGUUUAUGCAGAGGCGUAUGGAGGAUAUGUUGGAAAAUUUCGCAACUAGGCUGGUGCUUACUACUGAAGAGCAAAUGGUGGUUGUGGUUGAUGACAAUGAGGGUUUAUCCCUCAAAACAUCCAAAGUGUUCUUAGUAGGAAAGGUUCUUUCUCAUAAGCCUGUUGGGAAGGAUAGGUCUAGGAGACGUAUGAUGCAUCUUUGGUGUCCAAAGGCUCGGGUAACGGUGGUAGAAUUGGAUGAUGAUUUGUUCUUGUUUGGCUUCGAGAAUAAACAAGAGCAAACAAUGGUGGUAAAAGGCAGUCCUUGGUUGUAUGACGGGGCUUUGUUGCUAUUGGCAGAAGCUGAUACAUUGGCUAACCCUAAUAAGAUUCCACUCUACGCCCAGGAGUUUUAGGUUCAAAUCAAGGGUUUGCCUCUUGGGUAUAUGACGCAGAAUAUGGGGUAAUUUAUCAGAAAUCAGACAGGUAAACAUAUUCUCACGGAUCAAAGCUGAAAGGGAGAAUUGGAAGGUCGAGUGCUACGUAUACAGGUGAAGUUGGAUGUUAUGAAACCUUUUCGCAUGAGUUUGCUACUUUAUAUUGAGGGUUUCGUGGUGAGUGUUGAUCUUUGCUAUAAGAAGCUUCCAAUCAUACGAUAAUUAUGUGGACUUGUUGGUCAUAUGGAAGAACGAUGUGAGAAGUUUUCAGCGAAGAAUGAAGAUAAUUUAACGAAACCUUACGGUCGAUGGUUCCAGAAUGAUGUUCUUGAAGCCAACUACCGUCGAACACAGGGUACUCGUUUUGGCUUGGAGCCUUCACAUGGAUGGUCAACGAAAGCAUCGAUGGACGUGAAUGAGGAGGAGUUUAAUUACUCUUCGAUGGUUCGGCCUCCAGGACGGCUGUGUCUAGAUUAGUGGCGAAGGGGGAUGAUGAAUUGGAAAACAGUACAGUGGGGAAUGAUCGGAAUAAUAGGAUCAAUAAUGAGGGCGUCGACUUAGAUGAGAUGUCCAUUGAUGACCUAGCUGUUGUCCAUUUUCAGGAACUUCCAGUUGAUCUAGCGUUGAUGGGGACUAAUCAGGGGGACAUAUCAAUUGACUCAUGUGGUUUGAGACUCUUUGGGUUUGAUUUGAAUGUCCCGAAUGUUGAUAAUGACAUGUUUCGAGGAGUACAUGCUUGAUGUUAACUGAUGGGCCCAAUGAAGCAUACAAUAAGGAUGAGGUGAGAGGGAGUGGGCUUAUGUUUAGUUCUAAUAUCGUUCAGCAUCAGGUAUCCUUUCAUCAGGGGCUGCCUCCUCAUAGCAGGCAGUUUGAGGAGGGAUCUAAUGUUGUGGGGUUUGGAAAGUUUGAGAUGGGGUCUGACCCAUUUAACCUUAUGCCAAUUGUUGAACAAUUGCAGACAAAGAGGAGGAGGAAGUCAAAACGAGUUAGGAGGGUGAGGGGCACAGCUCAACGUGGUACCCCCUCUUCUGCUCAAGUAUCCACAAGUACAAGGCUACCGGCUUUAGGGAAACGUGCUGAGCGUGAAGAGAAUGAUAUUUUGGCACCUUCUAGUGAACGUAGAAUGAUUAUGGUCAAUGAGGUUGAUUCUAUUUUAUCAGCAGAGGUUGACGGUGGUCAAACCCGCCGGUCUCAAUAAGUUGCAUGAGUUGGAACUGCCGGGGGCUUGGGAACCUCCGUGCAGUUCAUGCGCUUCAACGUUUGAUUUUGAAUAAAGAUCCCACCGUGGUGUUUCUUUGUGAGACGAAGAGCAACGUUCGUUACUUGGAACGCCUACGGAUGAAGUUGAAUUAUGAUAGAAGUUUUACAAUUGCUAGUAAUGGAAAUUCGGGAGGUUUAUGUGUAUUAUGGAAGGAAGAGAUUGACUUGAGAUUGUAGUCUUAUUCAAAUAACCAUGUUGACUUUGAUGUGGAGGAGCCUGGGGAUCGUAGAUAUUGGAGGCUGACUAGGUUUUAUGGCUAUCCGGUGGUUUGUGAUAGGUAUAAGUCAUGGCAGCUAUUGGAUACACUCUAUGGCGAUGAGUCAAGUCCUUGGUUGUGCAUAGGCAAUUUUAACGAAAUUCUGCAAGUACACGAACAUGUGGGGGUAAUAUUCGGAGUGAGAAUCAAAUAGAGGGCUUUCAAAACAUUGUAGAGAGGUGUCAUUUCAACUAUUUGGAUUAUUCUGGGAACAUCUUUACGUGGUUUACAACCAGAGGGGGUGGUAUCAAGGUACAUCUGGAUCGUGCUUUGGGUACACAAGCUUAGUUUGAUUUGUUUCCGAGGUUCAGGUUGUAACACUUAAAUAAAACAUCUUUUGACCACGUCCCAAUCCUGCUCACAUGGGAUGAGAGGUGUAUUAGCCGAGGGAAGAGACAUUUCUGGUAUAAGAAGGCCUGGAAUAUGCAUGAGGGAUGUGAUGAGGUGAUAGGGCAAGGUUGAGAUACUAGUGUGGAAGGCUCGACUAUUUUUCAGGUGACUGAGAAGAUCAAAGCCACAAGAAUGUUGUUGAAUAGGUGGGCUCGAAGUAACAUAAGGUUAGGGCCGCAAGAAAUUAGGGAAGUUAAGGAUAAACUCACGAGUUUGCUGGGGCAGCCGUUGACAAGUGAGUCCAUUAAACAAAAGAAAGUACUGGUAGGACGGUUGAAUCUCUUACUUGAGCAGGAGGUACUCUUCUGGCGACAGAGAGUGAAGGAAAAUUGCGUGAGGCUUGGGGAUCAGAAUACGAAAUAUUUUCAUCAGAAAGCUAAUAAAAAAAAAAAAAGGAAUUGGUUGCAUGGCCUUACGGACAAGGGUGGGGUGUGGCAUGAGGACCAAAAGGGUAGGGAGAAUGUCGUGCUUUCCUAUUUUACCAGCUUGUUUACAUCGAAUGAUGCUACCAUGUUUGAAGAAGUUUUGAGUAACAUAACGCCUUUGGUAAUGGAGGAUAUGAACGUUGAGCUCAAGAGACCUAUGUCGGAUGAUGAAGUAAAGUGUGUUGUGUUUCAAAUGCACCCUACUAAGGCUCUGAGGCCUGAUGGCAUGACUCCAGGGUUUUACCAAAAGCAUUGGGGAAUUGUAGGGUUGGAUGUAUGUAGAGGAGUUUGUGAAAUGGUGUUAUCUGGUCAUAUACUACGUAAGAUCAAUUACACUCAUGUCACUUUGAUUCCCAAAGUGAAAGAAGUUACGAAGAUGUCUCAGUUGUGACCUAUCAGUUUAUGCAAUGUAAUUUAUAAAAUUAUGUCGAAGCUGUUAACAAAUCGUUUGAACUCUGUUCUUCCUCGUAUAAUUUCCCUCACUCAUAGUGCGUUUAUUCCUGGGAGGUUGAUUUCAGAUAAUUAUUUGGUGGCGGCGGAGGUUGCUCACUAUAUGCAUAAAAAUCCUCGAGGAUGAAUGGUUUUAAGGCAUUGAAGCUGGAUGUUAGUAAGGCCUACGACCGGUUGGAAUGGCAUUUUUUGGAGGCCAUCAUGACUCGGAUGGGUUUUUCACCGAGUUGGGUUCGAAUGGUUAUGUUAUGUGUGACCAUUAGUUACAACUUCAAUGUAACUGUCUAAUCCAAAUUAGUUUGAAUCUCAUUAGGUUUCCCUCCAAGACUUUAAAUCCGGAUAUUGCAUUAGUGCAUUAGUUAGGCUAAGUUCAAUAUAUAUAACUCACUUAACUUAUAAUGUUACACUUGUCAAAUGUUUGAUGAAACUCACAUUAAGUUUCUUACACAAAUCACCCCAGAAAAGUGUGUAGGAAGAUGAGAAUAUUUUGAGUUGAUUUUAUUGUGAUUGUCUUCUUACACCAUUCAAAUUCAAAGUCUAAGUAAGUUAAUGAUGCUGCUUCUGGAUCCUAAUAUGGUAGCAAUGAUACUGAAGAACUAAUUAGGUUUUAGUUUUAGGUGUAAUUAAGUUUUAGUUUUGAGGGUCAUUAGGUCUAUUUAAGUGAAUUUUUUACUAUAUUUGAAUUGUUUUAUAAAAAAUGAUAUUUAAGAAUUUGUGGAGUAAAUUUUUGCUAUAAAUGAUAAAAACCCCGGCAAAUCUCACCCUCUGGUACCACUCUCCUCCGUCGAACACUAACGUACCCCUUCCUCCAACCUUUCCGUUGAUUCUAGCCCUAGUAGUUCUACCAACCUCUCUUCUCUGUCGAACCCUCUCCUCCGCUGAAACCUCCAUCUUCCGUCGAACCGAUCCCCAAUUCCUCCUUCGUGGAGCCCAUCCCCAAUCCCUCAUCCGUCCUCUCCUCCAUUUGAUUCACAGUCGACCUCACUCAUCCACCGAAUCAGAUCACCUAAUAAACUAAAUCAGUCAUUUCUAAUGAACUAGAAGCAACAAUAUACAUGGUUUCAAUGAUUUUGAGGUUAAGGUCAUUUUCUAAAAAAUCAUGCAUCAAAUUGUAUCUGGGAUGCGCAGAACUAUGGUUGCUCGCGAGAAAGAAUGAGUGUGUUUGGUUACGCAUGAAAGAAAAACAGGAGUACUGGCAACCAUGGCAAAGUGAUAUUCUCUAAUAGCAACUCUAGCCCUAUCUUUUAGGGCUGAUUUGGUAGUACUUUGCUUAAAAAAAAAAAAAAAAACUAUUUAUGCUAUGUUGUGAAAAUAAGAUCAUUUUUGCUGCUUCACGUUUUUAGUUUUUUUUUCACCCAAAGUGAAAAUAAGUUGUUUUUAAGUGUUUACCAAACACUUUUUUAAGCUCAGUUUUUUUUUUAUACCCACUUUUUAUAAAAGCACAUUAGUAUCAAAUCAGUACUUAGGCUGGCCCAAAGCCUACAAAAUAGGCUGGUACCCAAAAACUCCACCCCACUCUUAAAAAUAUGCCGGUCCAAAGUCUAAGUCAGUUUGUAGGUCGAUCCAAAAUAAACUGAGGUAGGAACUGACCUAUCUAACGUCAUACUGACACCAGCAUAACGUCAGCGAACAAUAGGGUUGGAGUUGCUCUAAGUGGUCCACUUAAUAAGUUGGCCAGAAUACUCGUCCAUCAAUAAAUUCUACUUUGGACCAUUGGAGAGCAUUUAUGAGCCGGUCCCUAUGAUUUGCAUGCUAUGUUUUACUGACCAAAUGGUGAAUGCAAGAACUGUAAGUGACAAUUUAUUCACGUUGUCGAACAAAUAUCGUGGCCAUCAUGACUCACCACUCACGUCACAUUAAUGGUAUUGUCAUGAAUUUAACCACAUAUUAUUAGUUGUAAAGUUUUAUCACAUAUUAUUAGUUGUAGAGUGGUGUGAGUUUAUGGGUUUUAUAUGUACAACGUGAGACCCAACCACUUCUUGUUUUUCUCUAUUUUAUGAUUGGCUACCUAUUUUCUUUUUCUUGUUAUUUAUUUUAUAGGCUUGACACUCAUGAGUUUAAUAUAUUGAACUUAAAAAUAGAAUCACCCUCAUAGCACUCAGAUUUUUGGGCAUAUUGUAAGAAAUUAAUUCCUAUAUUAUUGGUAUCAUACUUACUUUUCUGGUCUGUUGUAGAAGGUUUUAGCGGGAUUAUACAAAUAUGAUAUUUAAAAUGUGGUAGUAGUAAUAUUUUUGAUAAACUAAUGUAUGUCUAUCAUUUUUUUUAAAUAAACCGACAUAUGGUUAGUCAAAAUAUCAACAAUAUUAAUGAUAUAAAUAAUAGUCGUGAACCCAUGAAAUAUUAACGUAAUUAUCAGUAUUAUUAAAUAAUCAGACAUGUGACAUAAUGAGACAACAUAACCUAAAUUGCACUCCUUGUUAUAAAGUCAUAAAGUUGUGAAACUUUUUUUUUGUUUCUGCUAAAGGUGACACGCUUAACUUGUGGUAAAACAAGAGUUUCCACUGACCCAGUAAUCUAUAUAUACAUGAAAUUCAUAAGCUCACAAGUCACACAAAGGUAAGCAAAAACAACAUUCUUUGACCAAAAAGAAAAAAAAAAGCAAAAAGAAACAUUCUCGAUUCAAAAAUGGAGCAAAGCAAGGGCAGGAGAGUGAUCCUCUUCCCACUGCCGUUUCAAGGCCACAUAAAUUCUAUGCUAGAACUGGCCAACGUUCUACACUCCAGAGGCUUCUCCAUAACCAUUAUUCACACACGCUUCAACUCCCUCAACCCUUCUACCCUAAACCCACACUUCACGUACCAUUCAAUCCCUGUCGACUUCUCCGAAACCGAGGCCGCCUCGAGGGAUCCCAAAGGUUUUUUUUAUCUUCUCAAUGUUAGAUGUAUCGAGCCUUUCAGAGAAUGCCUGGCCAGGUUGUUAUCGGAUGAUGUUAAGUUGGAAGGCCCCGUUGCUUGCUUGAUCUCAGACACUCUUCUUCACUUCACUCGACCCAUUGCGGAGAGUUUUAAGCUUCCGAGGAUCUUGUUAGAUGUCUCGUGCGCCACUAAUUUUGCUGUUUUGGCUGUGUUUCCGCUUCUCAAGGAAAAGGGUUACCUCCCAAUACAAGGUACAUCAGAUAUAUGCUUCUUUCUUUCUAUGUUGGUUACAACAAAAUAACUCAUUACCAUUAUUAGUUGCAUAAAAUAGAGUUGCUAAUUUUUUUUUUUUUGACACAGAUAGUGCUUUUAUCAGAAUAAUUGUCAAAUAUUACAAAAUGUCUUUUUACUCGCCAUUGGUACAUAGUAUUACUAGUUCACUGGUUAUAAACAUGAUUGAACUGAUGAUAAUAUACAAAUACUUGAACAACUUAUAUUUGGCUUUCUAUUAUAUUGGCAAUAAUUAGAUUCUCGACUAGAAGAGGUAAUCACAGAACUAUCACCUAUCAAAGUUAAAGACCUGCCAAAGGCGCCCGGUUCCGAUCCUGAGAAUUAUUAUCAACUGGCCAUCCAAGUGUCAAAUGAACCAAAGUCUUCUUAUGGACUCAUCUUAAAUACAUUUGAAGAUCUUGAAGGACAUGCUCUGGCCAGAAUCCGCCAAGAACACCUGCCCAAUGUUCCCAUUUUCCCAACAGGUCCAUUUCACAAGUGUUGCCGUACAAUAUCCUCUUCAAGUAGUUUAUUGGCACAAGAUCAGAGUUGCAUUUCAUGGCUGAACACUCAAGCGCCCAAAUCUGUUGUUUAUGUUAGCUUUGGGAGCAUUAUUCAGAUAGAGGAAGCUCAAUUUUUGGAGAUAGCUUGGGGGCUGGCCAAUAGCAAUCAACCUUUUUUGUGGGUUGUUCGACCCGGGUUGGUUAACGGGCUUGAUUGGCUUGAAGCGUUACCUAACGGGUUUUUGGAAGCAUUGAACGGGAGGGCUUACAUUGUAAAAUGGGCUCCACAAAAAGAAGUGUUGGCCCACCUAGCAGUCGGAGCCUUUUGGACUCACAAUGGUUGGAAUUCUACAAUGGAGAGCAUUUGUGAAGGGGUCCCUAUGAUUUGUACACCAGGUUACAUUGAGCAAAUGCUGAUUGCAAGAAAUGUGAGUGAUGUUUGGAAGGUAGGGCUGCAAUUGGAGCAUGGGAUUGAGAGAGGUGAGGUUGAAAGAACAAUUAGAAGACUGAUGGUUGAGAAAGAAGGGGAAGAGAUCAAAGAGAGAUCCUUAAAGUUGAUGGAAAAGGCAAAUCGUUGCCUCAAAGAAGGUGGCUCUUCGUACCAAUCUUUGGAUGGCUUGGCCAAGCACAUUUUAUCGUUAUAAAUCGUUUGUAUAAGAAACUAAGUGGUAUUGCAAGUAGCUCUUUACCACAGUGGUGAAAAUAAGUUGAGCCCUUGCAUGAAGGCAUGAGUUUAAACCCUGUCGGUGACUAAAUAAAAGAAAAUAUAUCGUUUAACCAAAAAAAUAAUAAUAAUUACUAAGUGGUAUUAUUUAUUCAAUAAAAUAAAAAUAAAAUUGUUGGGUUGCAUUAUGUGUUUACAUAAAUAGAGGCUUUUAGCAAUGUGUUAACUACAUUAUGUGUAUAAAAUAAAAUCUCGACAAAAGCCAGUCUUCACUUUACUACCCGAUUCGCACAUUUCAACUUAAUCUUCAACUCAUUCGAACAUGUGAUGUAGGUCAGAAUACCAAUAAACCAAAACAAUAAUGGUUCUAAUUAGGCCUGACAAUUUUGUAAACGACACGAAAAUAAUAAGUUUCGGAUAAUUACUAAGUUACCCAUUAAUAACGGGUUUACACACAGGUAACUGGUGGUUAACCCAUUUCGACCUGUUAAGAAAAAAAUAUUUUGAUGAUUUGAAAGUUAAGCUACUAAACAAACUUACUAUAAAAUAUAGUAUAUAUUGUAUAUUAAAUAUGUAUUAUUGUAUUACUAUUCUACGUAAGUUAAAAAAAAAAGUUUUAUUUAUUUAUUUUUAUUAUGAGAGUUUCUUAUCAUUACUACGAUAAAUUUUACUUGACAUGGUAUCCUAAAUUCAAAUCAACUAGUAUAAUAUUAGUAUAAGCAAAAUGACAGACUUUCAAUUUCAGAGUCAACGACGUAGCAAAGUUUUUACUCUCUCUUAUACAAUCAUACUCAUAAAUGUUUCAUCCUCUUAAAAGUGAGAUUAAAACAUUAUAAAACACAUUAAAAAAUUAAAUAUCAAAGUAAUUUAAAAACACCAAACAUAUUAAAAAGUAUAAUAAUUAAUUUACAAGUGCAAAAAAUGUGAAAAAAGAAUAUGCAAAUACUUGUGAUCACAUCCUCUACGCUUUGAGAUGGGUACAUCAUUGUUUGAAUUUUUAAAAACGUACAAAGCCUCAUGAAUAAUAUUUUUAGGGGAGUUCAAAAUAAAUAAAAUUUCGUAAUAAUUAAUGUACAAGUGUGAAAAAUGUGAAAGAAUAUAUAAACGCUCGUGAUUGCAUCCUCCACGCGUAGAUGAUGGAUACAUUGUCUUUUAGAAUUUUAAACCCUCCAAACCCUCAUGAAUAGUGUUUUUAUUUGAGUUCAAAAUUAAUAAAAUUUGUAAUAAUUAUUUUAUAAGUGUGAAAAAUGUGAAAAAAAUAUACAAUCACUUAUAAUGAUAAGCUUUACAACUUUCGUGAAGGGAUCAACUCCGAAAUCUGACACCAUAAUCCAUGAACCUUUGAUUUAUAUUUAAUCGUUGAUUAUUGUUUACGCUUUACUCUUUCACUAAAUUUUUUUUUUUCAUAUUUUCUUUUUUAAAAACAUGAUCUUUUAACGGAUACAGAAAAAUGAACGGUUCGGAUUGUUGAUAUUACGUUCCAAUAUUUACGGUUACCUGAAUAUGAGUCGAUGUUAUAUAGUUUUUGGAGACUUUAUAAACUCUAAGCAAUAAUUUCGCUAAUGGUAAAACUUUGAAUGUAAUAUCAAUGAUCCGAAUCGUUCAUCUUCCUGCAUCCUCUAAAAGAUCAUGUUUUCAAAAAAGAAAACCUUAAAAAAAAAAAUUGGUGAGAAGAAUUGAGCGUAAAUGUAAAUGAUUAUCAACGAUUACAUUUCAAUCUAUAGUUUAUGUGAUUAUAGUGGCGAAUUUUGAAGUUAAGCCCAUUAUGAAAGUUGUAAACCUUGUUAGUACGAGCGUUUAUAUAUAUAUAUAUAUAUAUAUAUAUAUAUUUUUUUUUUUUAAUAUCUUACACAUCUUUCACACUUAUCCAUUAAUUAAUAUUUAUGUGAUACGUGAAAGACAAAUGUGUUUUUAUGUUUUGAAGUAAUAUUUAUAUGAUAAUGUGGUAUGUAUAUACCAAUUUAGUAUUAUGUUUUUUAUUUGAUUAUUUACUGGUUUAAAAUAAAUUUUCUUUAAAGGAUAAUGGGUCGGGUUAUAUUACCUGUUAAUAUUAACAGUUCAAGUUCGGACUGGGUCAUAUUACUCGUUCAUUUUAACAGGUGUUGCAUGACACAACCCAUUAAAAUAUCAAGUAUGACAUGAAAACAACACGAACAUGAAAAACACAACACGAAUGCAGUUUUAAUAACAUGGGAGAAAGUUGUCUCAGAGCCUCCUAUAUGGCAUCCAAUAUAACAACCAAAUUAAAAUUUAGGGUUUCUUCGUCACAGUGAAUGCUUCCAAUCAAAAUAUACAUAUAUAGUAAUCAUCAUACUUACAUUGUCUACUUUUUGUUGAUCCAAAUUAUUGGCAUACAGGAAUUGCGGCAAAAAAACUCUUUCCGUGUGAGUUCUUCUCUCUUCCUGAGAGUCGUUCUCACUAUUGUGUGAGUGGUUUCCCUUCCGUUUGAUAAUGUCAUUGUCGGUCCUUGCUGUGGCGGAGAUCGGUAACAGAUCAUUCCAGUUAAUCUGCGUCAGAAUAUUAAUUGGGAAGCUAAAGUUUGUGCUUUAUUGAUAAUGGGAACUGGGACAAAGUCCAACUUUCUCAAGUAUUAGAUUUAGAUGUUGUGAAAAAAAAAUCUAUUUGGUAACUAUUCCCUUGCAUAAUAAGGAAGUUUACUUCAUUUGGGAUCAUUCAUCAACUGGUGAUUUCUCAAUUAAAUCAGCUACUUGGAUUCAGAGUAGUCAAAACCAUGAAGUGAAUAGACAAAGGCUCCUUAAGAGGUUGUGGAGGUUAAUCAUUCCCCCUAAGGUAAAAAAUUUUGCAUGGUUGCUUAUUCAAGGAAAAUUGCAUACUAAGGUAAGAUUGAGUAAAUUCAUUCAAAAUGCUAUUAAAGAUUGCUCGUUAUGUGGCAAGGAGGAAGAAACACAAAGUCAUCUUUUUCGGAAUUAUGAUUUUGCAAGAGAAGUCUAGAACAGAUCCCCCGUUAAAUACAUGAUGGAGUAAUGUUGGUCAUACGAAUGAGUUUUUAGAUUGGUUAGAAUUAAUUAACAAUGAUGAAUUCAAUGGUUUGAGUGAGCUUAGUAAGGCUCAUCUAAAUUGUCGGCAAAUUUGGAAUGACAUGAAUAAUAAAGUUUUCAGAAGCAUAAGUCCUCAUCCUGCCAGAAGUAUUGCCAUUGCCGCUAGAGUGGGUUUAUAUUAUUUUGAGGCCAAUUGCAAAAGGACUAACAAAAGCAACCUUUGUAAUCAAGCAAACAUUCGUUGAGAGCCUUCGCCCCAAGAUUUGGUGAAGUUAAAUUUUGAUGGCUUGGUUUAUUUAAAUAAAGCGGUUGCUAGGUUUGUUUUAAGGAAUGAGGCUGGACAACCUGUUGGAGCUGGUGCUUUUAAUCUCGAUGGGGCCACCACCUUGCUCGCAGAAGCCACUGCUUUAAAGGAGGGUCUUUCUUUUGCCAGGCUCAAAGGUGCGAGAAAGCUUGUUAUGGAUGGAGAUUCCAAGCUCAUCAUUUAGGUGGUGCAGGGGGAGUGGAACCCCCCUUGGCAUCUUAUACCGAUCAUUGAGGACAUCAAGUGGCUAGUAUCGGGAUUUCAGUGCAUUAGAUGGCAUCAUAUUUUUAGGGAGGCAAAUUUUGUUGCGAACAAAUUAGCUCACGUGGGUCUAGCAGUGACGAAUCCAUAUUUUAAGGAUAUUACGUUCCUACUUCGGCCUUGGAUGCUUUUAGAUUUGAUUGUUUGGGAAUCGGUUGUACUAGAGGCUUUUCUGUUUAAUGAAAUCUUUUUUCCUAUAACAAUAAAAAAAACAUAUUUAAUUUUCCAAAAUUUUUAAUAAGCCUUUUAAAAAUAAAAAUAAAAAAUAAAAAAUAAAAAAUAAAACAAAACACCACAAUUCCAAAUUAUUACUUUAGUCUAAAGAAGGCUUUUCAAUUGCACUGUACAAAUGAACAGUGUUUUGAACCACAUUUCAACUUAUUUACAAGAUUGCCACUGCCUCUUCAGUUUCAGAUUGAAAAUUUUGAUUUAUUUACGAAAUUGCCACCCUUCAGAGUGCACGUGUCGACGAUCGUAGAAAGGGUGGGGGAUGGAUGCAAACCCGAUUUUGUUCCAGAGAUCUCUUCGACGACAAACCCAUUUUGCUCCAGAGCUCUUCAACGACAAAGUCGAUUCGGCGCCUCGCCGCCGCACUCCUCGCCAGAACUCGAAUCAAUGGUAACGUGCCAAUUGUAUAUAUUUUUUGUCAAUUUUUAUCAUUAUUCUGGAAAUUAGGGUUUGAUCUAAAUUUGGUGUGGCUGUGCUUCAGCCAAAACUCACGGAUUAGGCUGAGAGAGAUAUAUAUGGGAGGAUUUGUGGACGGAUUUCAGGGAGAGAGGUGUGGGAUGGCAGGGAGGGGAAGGAAGAGGGAUGAGUGAGGCUGCCAAAAAGGGGGUUAGGGUUGAUUUUUUUCUCCUCAAAUCAAUUGUGGUGUCGGUGAUUGAACGAGCAUUGGUUAGAAGGGAACUUUCGUUUCCUUUGUUUCUGAACCGGAAUGGGGUCGAUGGGACCAUGCUCUGUUGCACGUUCAGAUGAGUGAUUUCAGGGAUUUGGGGGUAGGGAGAGUGAUUUCAGGGAUUGGUAAUCCCAUCCCGUGUUUUCCCUUCAUCUCUGUCACACUCAACCUCUCUCUAAUCCUUUCUCUUUCACUCUCUUGCCAUGGAUUUGGAGGGGACUGAUGGGAGGGAGAAGGGCGAGGUAAUCAGAUUGAGUUUUAUUAGGGGGUUUGUGGGGUUUUUUUAGAGAUUUUUCUGUGAAAGCAUUGUUGUUGUAUGAAUUUUUUUUAUUGUGGGUUUUGAUUGUUUGGUUAUAAUUUUGGGUAUCUGUUUUGGUUUUUUCAAUCGGUUUUUGUGUAAGUCAAAGUUUUAUGCGGAUGAUCGUUGGUUCUAAACCAACCGAGCUACAUAUAUGGCUUUGCUUCCCAUCUACUGACAACGUUACCCUUCUUCGCUCUACAAAUUCCCUUCUAACUGUCCACACUUUUACAAAACCAAAACCAAUUUUAUAAAUUUUGAUCAGAUUUUUCUUCAGAUUAGAGAGAAAGGGUCAUAUAUUUUUGCUAUUUUCAGAGAGAGAGGAUUUGAUGGAAAAAGGCUAUAUUAGCAAAUAGAUGAUAUUUCAAAAUUACAGUCGUCUGAUUCACUUAUUUUUGUUCAUAUCUAAUAUUUCUGGAUUUUUCCAUGUACAUUAUAGAAUUUAGUGACAUUUGAUAAACAUUGAAUGAAGUCCUUCAGUGAAUCUCUCAAGGCGCUCGAAUCUGAUAUUUAGUUCGCCAACACUGUAAGAACUCCAAUUCUUUCUCUACUUACACAAUUCCAAAGCAAUGUGUAAUAAACAGUGGAAUUUUGAUUCAAGUUGUAGUAAUUGCCCUGCAAUUGUUUUUCCAAUAUGUUUAUACACUUACGGUACUCCAAUCUCUCUCUCUAUAUCUGUCUCUCUCAUUUCUUUUCGGUUUUGCAAAUCUCUGACUUUCGGUGGUUUUGUUUUCUUCCAGUUGUCGAUGAAUUUUAUGGACUUCCUUUGUAAUCCUUGCUGCAGAAAGCAAUCUCGACGCCGCUGUGGGCGAAGGAACGCCAUCAUACGAGCCACCACGCUACUGUUGGUAAUUUUACUUUUCUGAUUUUAUAUGAGUAUGUGGUUUGUUUGAUGAGAAAAUAUGGAAAACGAGAGAUUUUUUUUUGAAUUUAGGGUUGCUAUAACAUGAAUUUUCACCAUGAUUUGUGAUUGGUUUUGGGUAUCUUUCCUCUCUUAUGCUUUUUACACUGCCUGCAUCAACCCCUUUUCGUUUUUUGUCUUCUCUUCCAACUUAUGCCCUCAAUAAUGAUAUUAGAUAAGGCAUUUUAAAAUUUAUUGCUAAUAUUUUGAAAUUUGUGUUGUACUAAUGCCAUAAGGCAUUUUGAUUUUUGACAUUUUGUUAUGUUGGUUGGAAAGUUGGAGACUUUUCCUCUCUUUGCAUUUUGCUAUGCUGGUUGGAGACUUGCGAACUAUUGAUUUUGAAUGCUAUUGCUCUCUUUAUUCUUUAAAAUCGAGUAUUGGAAUUUUGAAUGGGACAGGAUUGGAUUUAUGACUUUGUGCUUUCCUGAAUGGGUUUAGUUUUGUACAGCUUGAAAUGUUGGUAUUGUUUUUGUUCAUGUAACUUUGGUUCAUUGUUCGUUGUGGGAUGAGAUUUGGGAUCUAUUUUUUUGUUUCAGUUUUUACAUAUCGAAUUUUCGAGAGCUAUUUGAUAACAGUCAGGCCUGUUUAGAGUCAGGUUUUAUAACUCAAACCAAUUCCAAUAGCUAUUUGGUAAUAGGAUGAGUAAUUAAGUAUCAAAGAGUGGGGAAUUCAAUGUCUUAUAUUGUCAAAUAUAAUGUUAUUGUGUAUGUAUUUACUUUGCAUAAACUUGGUCUCACUUUUGAUUGAAUUGUUGCAGUUCUUGGUAUAAGGAGCUAUAGCUCCAUUGAAGAAGUGAGAGGCAUACGACAAUAUUUCUUUAGUCUGGUAUGUCAUUUUAACGAUUGGAAUUCCACAAUUUGAUUAGUUUUGAUAAUUUCCGGAAGAAGAAGAAGGCCCUGUGUCCAAGUUUUAAAAAGCACACUUUGUAAUGCUUCAAAAUUUCAUGCUUUUUUUAGGAAUUCAGACAGGCAGCAUGCAGAUACUUCUGACUUUAUCAAGGUUAGUGAAUUAUGUGGUUUCUCCACGGGGUGCAGUUUUGUUGUUACACUUUGUAAAGCUUCAAAAUUUCAUGCUUUUUUCAGGAAUUUAGUAGUCCCCAUCAUCAUCAGUUUGUCUGCUAUUGCAGUUAGGGAAGCAUUCCACAGAAGAAGGCGGGGUUACACCUUCAGUUUAUUCACGCAAAGAACCAGUAUGUCGAAAAAUAUAUGUUACUCAAUUCUUAAAAACUUUAUGGCGUGACAAAAUAAAUUUGCAAAUUGCUAAUUUUUCUGUUUUGUAUAAAAUCUUUGUUCACUCUACCUGAACAGGUACACAUGUUAAGUUUUCUUUCAUCUUAUCUUUGGCACAGAAGGCACCAUCAAAAUUUAAACUUUUUUAUUUUUUUAUUUUUUUUCAUUCGGCUGUUGAUGAAGGGAUUGUUGUUGGUGGAUGAAACCUUUAGGUAAUUAUCUGUUGCUUAUUGAACUCCCCCAAUCAUGAGUUUUGACUCGGAAGAAGAUUUUGAUGAUGACAGAUACUAAAUUAAAUUUUGGCUCAAAUUGUAUUGAAAAUUGCAGUUCAGAGCAAUUUUAUGAGGAAGAAGGAUGAAUCCUAAACAUAUGUAUGAAUUUAGUCAAUUUCUACACGCUCCAUUCAGUAGAUGAAUUGUAAACAUAUGAAUUUCAAGCACCUGAAUUGAAUAGAUGCUUUUAAUUCUUCUCUCAUCUAAACCUUAGAUUUUUCUGCAAUUUUAUUUCUUUGUUGUUUAUAUCAUCGUUGUUUGAAUAUAUGGUUAAACUUAUUUCAUUAAUUGUUGAUGCCGUGUGUUGAUAAUCAUGGAAAGGUAGGGGUGCGAUGGUCGUUUUAGUCUGUAGGGUUUCGAACGGAUUGGGUGGGUUAGGGCGACUUUCAUUUCCUUUCUUUCUAUGAGCUGUAGAGGGACUCGGUGAGAGCAUGCCGUCAGAGAGAGAGCGGGAGGGAUAGAGAUAGGGAUUUGGUGGGAACUCAUAAUGUAGUAGAUAUUCCUCAAUGCAAAGGUCCCAAUCCUAAUGACUUUAUAUUUGAUAUUUAAUCCUUGGAUUAGUGUUAAAUUCUAUAUUUUUUAGUUUAAUUUGUGUUUUCUUUUCUGUUUUUGCAGCUCAUCCUCCAAGUAUAAAUGCUGCUGUGGAGCUGCUUAAACAAGGUCCCUUUUCGGUUAUUAAAACUCAAUGUUACUUGCUUUCAUUUCUAGUUUUUGAGUCUUCUAUUUGUUUGCUUGCUGCAAUUAUUCAACUUAUGCCGCUAUAAUAUUUGUUUCCUUCUGUUUUGUCCUCGCAUUAACUACCAUUUGGAUCAUGUGAAUGACAACUUUCAUGUAUAUUUCGAAUAAUGAGCAGUUUAUUGCUGUUAAUCUUUUGAUCACUGUAUAUGUUGCUAAUUUGCCUUCUCAAACAACGUAGAUGUAAACAUUGAUAUAUAAAACUUAUAUGUUAAUCAACCAAUUUAAAAUUGGGAUUUUAACUGAUGGUCGUCCAUGGUUCCUUACUUUCCAGAUAUUGCAACAUGCAUAAAUUCACCUGGAAGUUAUUCAUGUCAAUGUCCCAAAGGAUACAAACAUGAAGGCAUGGAUGAAAAGAGUUGUAUCAAAGACAACAAAGGGUCAAAGGCCAUUCUCCUCAUUAUUUCAUUAGGUAUGCAUGUUUUUUUCACAUGUUAAUAUAUUGCAUAUACGAGUCUAAAUUUAUUUUAUUGGAGCCACUUUUGGAUCCAAAAUUCUCAUAAAGUAUGUCAUUGAUGAAAGUUAUAUUCUGCUGUCUUUUAGUGAUCUUUGAAUAGUCUCAAGCAGUAUUAACUAUCAGGGAUUUGUUUUCAUAUUGCAUGAAAUUUCCACUUUUUUCAUCUUUGAAUAGUCUCAAGCACGGUAAAUAUAAUAGCACUAGAAAGUGAGGAAAUCCACUUUAUUUGGUCAGGUUGGAUUCUCUACUAUGACUGCCAUUUUUAUCUCUAAACAAAAUUUUAAUGGUAUGUAUGAUAUAAUGGUAAAUUUAACUAUUUUGGUUUCGUUGUUCUCAUACUUUGGUGCCUCGAGUUUUAAUUUUUCAUAGCUGUGUCUGAGUUGUUUUCCAGUUACAAUUCGGGUGCCAUUGGCAACUUCUAGGGGACCAAAAUUGUUUUCAGGUCAAAAUACAGGAACCAAAUUGUAACUAGGCUAGGAGAUUACAUUACCAAAGUAGGAAAGUUUGGUCUUGAUUCAUAGUUUGGCAACACAAUAUGUAUGUAGGAUGUUGUUUUGGAACCGUUUGGUAAGUGUUAAAUACAUCCUAUAACAUGAUUGACUAACAAGCAUGGUCGUUCAGAUAUACAUGCAAUUGAGAUCACUGACUAAAUCAGGUUUCUUUUAUAUUGAAGCAAAUCUUGCCUAUUAGGUGUUUGUGAAAAUUCCCCAGAGUUAGAAACAAGGAUAUGAUGCAAAUCUGAAUGUAGGCUGUUUUGGUAUCUGUGUGUAUGUAUAGGGGUGUUAUAUUGAUAUGACAUGUUGCCUAAUUUAUCUAUUUUUCGAUUGUUAGAUCAAAGAAGGAAGUUCAAUUUAUCAAGGAUCAAGGUUUGGACUACUAGACAGCACGCCGGCUUCGGUUUGAGGUAUGGAAGUCUCGAGCUUGCAAUCUUAAAUUUCUGGUUCCCGAAUAAGAAAUAUGCUCUAUUUGAUCCCGAAUAAGAAAUGACAUAGGUCUGUGGCUUCCAUCAUUAUUAAGUUGUAUCCUUUUCUACUUGGGUUACAAAAAACCAUUAUAAUGAAUUAAUCAAAUUUUUUAUUCUAAGGAAGUAUGUAUUCAACAUUGUUUUUUUCUGAACAAUUUCAAUUAAUAUAACUAUGACCAUUUGUCUACUAUUUUAUAGACUCCCAUUGCCAUGUUGGUCUCUUGCUGCUAAAUGUGUAUUACUUUGUCUUCUGGGUGAGCGUUCUCUAAUUUAGAUUAGACAACAAUUCUUCAAGCUUGGUUUGUUUUCUGUGUCUCCUUCACUGUAUCUGUUCUGUGAAUGAACAGGUAGAUGUCAACUCUAGCAUUUAAUAGUGUUGUGCACCUUGACAGGUGUAUAUGUGAACGGCUCACAGGGUUUUUCUGAAUCUGUAGGUCCAGGAUUUAUUUUUGAAAGGGUAAGUCUGUUGUGAUUCUUUUAAUUCUCAUCUUCAGUGCAAAAGUUUGUGUGCAAACUUUUUUGUUGCAGUUUUAUUCUUCUGUAUGCAUUAUGUUUAUCUUUAAGUAAAGGUUGCUAAUCUUUUAUUUAUGAGUGUGUGCUGCUCGGUCUCCAAUGAUUGUUUAUAUUUCGAGGGUAUAAAUGGGGAGGCAAAAUGCAUUCCAAUAACUCGGAAUUCAACCUCCACCAAAUUGUAAGGAAUCCAAUUCCUCCAAAUUUUGGAGUUGGAUUCCAAAAUUUGCAUGGUCUCUUAAAAUUUUUGAUUCCCCAAUAUUGGGUAAACACUGGAGUAGUCAGUAAUCGACUUUCAAUUCCUUUUUUUUGUUCCGAUUACCCUUACAUAAAUGUAUUUAUGAUCUUUUAGUUUCAAGAGCCCAACUGUUGUUGCAAAAUGUGCUAUAGAUGGAGCAUCUAAUGUCUUUCUUACUUAUUGUUGGGCUCUUCUAUCUUUAUGUGAGGCAUUUUGUACUACUGCUUUUGUAACGUUGGGAUGUUUCAAGAUUUAUGACUGUGCGUUCUCUCUCUCUACACUUUUUCUUCCCUCGCUCCCUCUCAUGUAGAGCCAUUUUAUGGUACAAUGUGUUUAUCGGUUCUCAUGUCCAAGUUUUUCUUUCUGCUUUCUAUUAAGUUUUGUUUGUAUGUUAUGUUUUCAUGGAAUCUCUUGCACUGAUUUCAAUUACGUUGUACUUGAAUGUCCUGAACUCAAGUCAAUCAGGAUUUUUUUUUUGGUUGAAACCAUUGAAUUUCGUUGGACUUAAAUGAUAUAGAUGUGGGGAAUACAUUUACAUAAGGAUUAAUUUUAGGGAACUUUAACGAAAAGCACCCGGUACUGUUCACUUUAACGAAAAACCACAUUUCUACACUAAAAAGUCAAUCCUGGUACUAUUCACUUUACCAUUUAUUUUGUCCUUAUCAUUAAAACUAAAAGUUUUCAAGCCCUUUACAUUAGUUUUCCUUUAAUUUUAACCAUAGAAUUUUAUUUCAUUUUUCCUUGGAGCUUGAGUAACAAGAUCAUCAAAUUCUUAUAUUCGUUAUCGGUGAGAAUAAAUCUACAUGCAUAACAAUAUUGUUACACUUCUACUUUUAUUGGGUUUUUAUACAGUUUGUGUGUUUGCUUAGUCUUGCCUUGGAGUUGGAUCCACUUUGUGUAAUGGAUUGUGAUUUGUUUGAAAAUAUCUUUACUGAUGAUUUUGAGUAUAAUGUGUUUUUCUCUCCCUUUGUAAUCCAGUCGUGCAGAAGACAUCUCCAUUAACCGGUAACAGAUGAAAUCGUUUGCUGCCGAGGUUCACGUGCAGAAGAGCGAAAAUGCUGCAAGUGGAUGAUAGAUAACAGCUCAAGACACAUGGUAUGAGGGUGCAGGUAAACUGUACAUAUGCAUCUGGAAAAAGUUAAAAGUUAAGGCGGGUUGGCUAUAGCUUCUCCUUCUCGCCACAACAGGAAAUACUUUUGAACUGCAUUAAGAUGUUAAUAAAUUAAGCUUAAGCUAUAUUUUACUUAUCAAGAAUGGGUAAAUUGUUUUAAAUAGAAAAAUUAAGUGCUUAUAUCAGGGAAACUAUCAAUUUUACAAAGUUUUUUGGUAAAUUAGAUAUAUAGUUUAAUUUGAAGAGUUGUGUUGACCUUUACUUUUGUUAAAUUAUAUAGUUUAAUUGCGUCCUCUUUUUCCAAUCCUUAUAUAUCUGCUCAACUCUUGGUCAAUUAUUUGCCAGUAAGAAUGUUUAAUUGCUUGAUCAAUGAUGUCCAUUCAAUUUGAAGAAGAAACAGGACUUUUGUCCAAUAGGAAUUUGAAAUAGGGAUUGAGACCAGAUAUGAGUAAGAUGUCCCAAUUGUUCAUUGAUUCUUAGAUGCUACGUCUUUUUAGUUGAUUUGUGUGGAAACUAUUCAUGCAUGUUGCGACUAAUAUAUUCAAGUCCCCGUAGCAACGCGCGAGCAUAUUUUCUCGUACAUAUACUAAAACCCAGUUUUAUGUUACUGUUUUGCACUGUUAAUGAACAGUGAAAUUACGGAUAUACCCUUGGUUUCUCCUUUGUUUGUGCAACGAAUUUCCAAUUUUGCCCAUGCUGGCGACGGGUCAGUCAUCGUUGAUUUUUAGCCUUCGACUCGGUUUUGUUUACUCUACCUUUCUGUGUGGCUUUUCUUUCUUGCCGCUCUGUGCUUCCAUCCGUUUUGGUCUCGCCUUUGUUCUCCGCACUUUAUUUCGCAAAUUAUUCACGAAAUUGGUCUCCGUGGUUUUAUCCUGCGUUCAUGAUUUCUGUUUUUUUUUUGGGAUUUCGUUUUGCGACCUGCGUUUUGAAAGAAGUGGUGCAUCUCUGUGAACCUAAAUUUGUUGGCGGUCUGUGGAGACUCAUAAAAUUCGUCUCCAUGUUUGAUCCUCCACUUCUAAUCGCUGGCGGAAGACUUUUUGUUUCUUUUUCCGCCUGCCAUACCGAAGUUGUUGCCGGAUUUCCCACGAAUUUUCAGGCCACUUUGGGCACAGCCUCUCUGCAAACUGAGGUAUUUUUUUAACCCAUUUCUAGAGAUGUUAUUAAUUUUUGUGAAAUAUUUGGUCUGGUUUUUGUUUCCCAUUGCACACCCAAGUCUGAUGUGUGUGUAAUAGUCCUCCACACUAAACUAUACGCUUCCAUCCAGUUGGAAAUCCAUGGGUUCUGUGGGUCCCUUGGCAUCCGCAACAACGUGAUCCUCCAUUUUGGUAGCUAUUUCCUUUUAGGGUUUUUGUGUGUUUUUCCUAAUGAAUUAAAAUGAUGUCAAGUUCCUCUGAUUAUUGCUACAUUGGAUCCUCAAUUGGAACUCAUCUCUCAUCAGAUUCAAUUGAUUGAGGGUAUCAAUUAACAUCACCCUUUUAACUUUACCAUGGUGUGGUUCCACAAAUUAAGUCAUACCGUUUUCUCUCAUUUAAAUUCUUGAAGUUUUAAUUGGAAUUUCUUUAACAGUUUUUAUGAAAUUUGUUAUCUUGUUGUUUUAGAUUUUUAUAAGGUUUUUAUGAUUCAAUUAAUGGGGUUUGUUUUCGUUUCAGAUUAAUUUGGUUCCUGCUAAAGUAAUCAAACAUUGAAAGCUUGGAACCAGCAAUCUUUCAAAGAGGUUGGUUGUUCAAUGUUUUCAUUUUUGUCUUUUUAGUUGUAUGAAUGUGGUGGUAUGAUUUACUGUUUACAUUUAUAAUUCCAAUGUUUGGUUAUGUUUCUUUUAGUUUAACUGUUUUGCAUAUAUUGAUUGUCCUGUGAUUGAGAUAAUAUGAUGUGUACAAUGAAACAAAAUUCAUUGAAAAAAGGGAUGUAGAAUUCCAUUUUUCAAACUUUUUUAUUUUGGUUUUUUAAAAUUAUCCUUAUCAAACCUAAUAAAAUUUUGUAAACUGAUGAUAGACAAUUUUUUUUCUUUUCCUUUUUACAGUAUUUGAACAAGCUCUAUUUUAUAAGCUUUUGAAGUGUGUUUUUGGCUUUGAAGACGUUCUGUGCUAAAGGUAAGUAAUAUAAACUUUUGAUGUCAUUUGAUUCAAAGUUUAAUUAUAUAGUUUUAUUCAUUUUUUUCUGAUUGAAGUCAAGUUUCAUAUUAUGUUUAUGUUUAUUGAGAUCAACUUUGUUUUAAACUUCUGUUUACAUUUGAUAUAAGCCAUAUUGAUUUGUAUAUGUGUUAUGUCUCUAUUAAUUUUUUUUUCUUUUUUCGAAAUCUGUUUUGCAGUUGUUUGCUUUUGAAUUAGUUGUCAGAGUUCCUUAGUAUCAUGUCUAAACGAUCUAUAAUUACAAUAAGUGAUGGUCUAGACCAAAAAGAAAACAUUGGCAAUAGUGAAUAUAAUUUUUUGAGUGAGUAUAAUUGUUGAUGCACAAAAUCAAUGAGGACUUUGGUACAAUAGAAAGUGUCAAGUUUGUUAGAUUGCUUUGGUCACUAGUGUGGAUAAGUAUGCAAAUGGAUAGGGACAAGGAAGCAAACACAAGAUGUACGUGGUUCACCUAGAUUGGCUACGUCCACGAAGUAGAGGAGUUCUCAUUAAUUGUGAAGGGUUUACACAAGUACAUAGGUUCAAGCUCUCCUUUAGUGAGUACUAGUGAAUGAUUUAGUACAAAUGACAUUAGGAAAUAUUGUGAGAGAAUGAUCUCUAUUUAUAGAAGAGAGUUUCUAGUUUCAUUCUAACAUUGACAUGUGUCGUGUUGUGAUUGGCUUCUGAUGUCGACACAUGUCGCACUGUGAUUGGCCUCUUGGUUGGAGGGAAACUUUUCUGGAUGCUUGACGGUAUAAUGUUGAUCGAUGCGCCAUAGUUUCGGGAUUGGUCAAGUAUGGUAUAAACAAUAAUCAUCAACCAAAAAGACUUUGUAGAAUUGCUUAUAUACAAAAUUGUGAAAGCACUUCUGUUAGCGAAACUGAUGCAUUAGUUUAUGAAUAUUCACGAGCUCCAGUGCAUCUUCUGUUAACCAAUGUGUUAUUAUGCUUGUGAGCGAUGUUCAAGUAUUAGAUACCACCCCGUUUAAAAAUGAAAUAUAUGUUUGUGAUCGAAAAGGCUAAAACAUUAUUGGUUUCUCGACUGGCGUUGAAAACUCUGUUGGAAAAAGCUUAGGCGCUAACAAUUAUAAUUUCAUGAGUAAAGGUCAAUCCUUUUUCCAAGCAACCAGAAAGGGUGAGUUUUACAAUUUGUAUAAUGAUUAUUUCGUUUAGGUUUGAUCUUUACCGUUUAGCUACUUGCAUGUAGUGAUUAAUUUUUUCUUUCUUUUUGUGUGUUGUCUUUUUAGGGAUUAUGAAACUUUAUAUGGAUUUGGGUGACAAAAAUUACAAAUGUGUAUACUGUGGUGCAUUCUUGGUUAAAAGAGUCUCUUAAACACACAUGGAAAACAAAUCAACCCAUUUUCACUCUAUGUUGUCAACAAGGAAAGAUUAAAUUUUCAACUCCAAAACCGACACAUGCUUUUUAGAUUCCUUGCUUGAUCCAAAUGGAGGUAAAAAAAGUUUAUCAUUUCGAGAAAAUAUUAGAGCUUACAACUCGAUGUUUUCAUUUACUUCAAUGGGAAAAAAAGUUGAUAAUUCAAUUAAUGACAUAUCAAGUCCUUACAUUUUUAAAAUUAGUGGUCAAGUUUGUCAUUUGAUGGGGUCUCUUUUGCAUGUUGAUAAUGAGUCACCAAAAUUUGCUCAAUUAUAUGUUUAUGAUACAUAUAAUGAAGCACAAAAUCGUUUAAGGGCUGUUAAUUGUGAUAGAACAAAUGAAAAACUUGAUUCAACAAUUGUUGAAAACUUGAUUAAGAUGUUUGUUGAGUCAAAUGAGCUGGUAAAACUUUUUCGAACAGCGAGAGACAAAUUUGAAAAUGAUGGUUUGGUCAAUUUCAAAAUGAUUUUGUUGGGUAGACAACCAAAUGAUAGUAAGCAAUAUGAUCAACCAACAAGUGAUGAAAUAGGUGGAUUAAUAGUUGAUGAUAUAGGUUUGUCAGACUCUAAUAGAAAUAUUAUUAUAGAUUGCAUGAGUGAAGGAUUAAAACGUGUUGCAAAAUUGAAUCCAAAAUUUAUGGCUCUUCAAUACCCUAUUCUUUUUCCAUAUGGUGAAGAUGGUUACAGGCUUGAUUUAAAAUGGAAUGAAAAUUAUAACGGUUCAAAAAUAAAAAGACAAAGAAUACCUAUGAGAGCUUAUAUAGCUUAUCUGAUUCAAGAAAGAGAUCCAUACUUAACUACUUUGUUAAAAGGAGGUAGACUUUUUCAACAGUAUUUAGUAGAUUCUUAUGCGAUGCUUGAAGAUGAAGAUAGAUUGGAUUACAUAAGACAAAAUAAAAAAAAUUUAAAAGUGAGAUUUACAAAGGAAUUUAUGACGCUGUGUCAAGAGGUAACAACGAUGCAAAUAGUUUGGGACAAAAAAUUGUUUUGCCAGCUUUGUAUACAGGAAGUCUAUGAUUAAUAAUUAUCAAGAUGUUAUGGCUAUUUCUAGAGAACAUGGACAUCCUGAUUUGUUUAUAACAUUUACCUGUAAUGUGAAAUGGCCAGAAACUAUAAGAUAAUUUGAAAAUAGGCUCGACUAUGAUUCUCUUCCCUCCUAUUUUCAUCCCCUCCUCUCACAUUCUCUUAUUUUAUCUUUCUCUUGCUAUAAAAAAUUAAUAUAAGAUAUUGACGUGCCUUAACCAUAACCGUUCAAAUAAGAGAAGAGGAAAGGGGAGGGAAAAAAAUGAGGGGAGAUAAUUCUACUCCCAAAAACAAAGGCAUCAAGAAGAUAAGAUUCCAGGGUUGCGUGCGUGAGCGAAUUUUCCAAGCUCAGCUGCCUCAUCAUUCACCAAUAAAUUCACACGUUAAGCUAAGCAAACGUAAACAUUGUCGAUUGAAAAAUGGAGCAAAGCAAAGGCAGGAGAGUUAUCCUCUUCCCGCUGCCCUUCCAAGGGCACAUAAACCCUAUGCUAGAACUGGCCAACAUUCUGCAUGCCAAAGGAUUCUCCAUAGCCAUCAUCUCUACCAACUUCAACUCCCUCAACCCUUCAACCCUAAACCCACACUUCACCUACCAUUCAAUCCCUGUUGACUUGACAGAAAACGAGGCCUCCAUGAAGGAUCCAUUCCUUCUUCUUUCUAUUCUAAAUGCUAAAUGUGUUGAGCCUUUCAGAGAAUACUUGUCCGGGUUGUUAUCCAAGGACGUUAAUUCGGAGGACCCCAUUGCAUGCUUGAUCUCGGAUCCUCUCUUCAACUUCACUCGAUCGGUUGCGGAAAGCUUUAAGUUGCCGAGGAUCGUGUUAAGAACAGGGGGUGCAGCUUCCUUCGCUGUUUAUGCUGCAUUUCCACAACUCUUAUGCUGCAUUUCCACAACUCAAGGAAAAGGGUUACCUACCAAUACCAGGUACAAUCUCAAGCCAACAAAAUCCUAUUAUCAAAUGUCUUUUUAUCUCAUCAUUGUUAGUGACCCACGUAGACUGAAGACACCGUAUCAAGACUAAUCACUUUUUUGGAAUUCUUUUAUAAGUAGCAUUUUUGUUCUUAUGAACAUUAUGCAAUAUGUGCUUUUAUUAUAAACAUGUAAAUUUUUUUAUUAAAAACUCAAGCACAUGGAAAAAAACUUCAAAGUGAUUCUUCUACUGAAAUCACUCCAUUGAUCCAAAAAUGUUUUUGGUUACCAAAAAACACUUUAGCACUUCUAGAAGCGAUCCUAAACUAGCAUUUUGACAAUUUGGGCAUAUUUGAGUUAGGCUUGUUAGGUUAGCAUUUUUAUUUCUGCUCUGCCUCGUCAUAAAUUAGCAUUUUAGAAUAUGCAUUAUUCUAAAAUGCUAAUUUAUAUAUACUUUUUAGGAACCUUAUAUUUGACUUUCUAUUUUGACAAUAAUUAGAUUCUCGACUAGAAGAGUGACGGAGCUUUCACCUAUCAAAGUUAAAGACCUACCUGCAGCGAUGCCCAAUUGCGACCCUGAAGAUUUCUAUCAACUGAUAACCAACAUGGCAAAUGAACCCAAGGAUUCCCAUGGACUCAUCUUCAAUACGUUUGAAGAUCUUGAGGAAAAGCACUUGCCACAAUUUGCCAAGAAUAUUAC
rnacentral:lncRNA from 1 species